UUAAGAACUGUAAUUAGCUUCUAUAGGAAUGGAAAAAAUACUGAUGUUUUGAUGAUUACCAUCCCUCCUUCUCUAAAAUUUAACUGUGUUUCCUUGAUGUCCUGUUCUUGAAGCUUGUCCAUCGGGUUCUUACUGAUUUAUUGUCCCUUGGCAACACUGGACAAAACUGCUAGUGUUUGUGAACCGUAAGUUCAAAUUCUAUACUAUUCAUUAGUUUGUGUGGCAUUGCAGAUACAAAUACCAACUACCUCCAGGGAAAUUAACCAAACCUUACUUGUGGAGGAGAAAACAGAUGGGCUGAUGUUGGUAAUACUGUAAUAGUAGUGAUAUAUUCUGUCCAGUUGGAUCAUACUGUCCAACAGCUGUUAAAAAAAAUCGUUGCAGUAGACGGUAAGAUGUUUAAUCAAUCCCUACCUUUUUUAUCAAACUCAGCUUGAUGUUUAGUUAGUUGUUUCCUUUUGUAUUUCUGAUUUGACAGAAAAGUUUGACCUAGGAUGAGAUUUGUAUUUUUUUUUAUGGAGUAAAUGCUUGUGACACCCUAUAGUUUAUACCUAAAAUCAGUUUUGUCCCUCACUUUUUUUUUAAACUGGUAUACCCCUAUACUUUGAAUUCUUGACUGAUUUGCCCUUGUCGUCAAUUGACCGUUAAAGAAGACUGUUAAGUUGCUGAGAUGACCGGCUUCAGCUCCUCCAUCGUCUCCGGCCUCUCACUCUCUCUCCCACUUCUUCUCCCUCAUCUCCCCACUUCCCCACCGCCCAAACAAAAUGGAGGAGAAGAAGACCCCCCAUCUCUUCUUUUUCACUCUCCUCCUCUCCCUCUCCUCCGCCGCCCUUGACCACCACACCCUCCUCCUCUCCCCCCUCCCUCCGCCCCCUCCUCUCUCCCAACCCGAANNNNNNNNNNNNNNNNNNNNNNNNNNNNNNNNNNNNNNNNNNNNNNNNNNNNNNNNNNNNNNNNNNNNNNNNNNNNNNNNNNNNNNNNNNNNNNNNNNNNNNNNNNNNNNNNNNNNNNNNNNNNNNNNNNNNNNNNNNNNNNNNNNNNNNNNNNNNNNNNNNNNNNNNNNNNNNNNNNNNNNNNNNNNNNNNNNNNNNNNNNNNNNNNNNNNNNNNNNNNNNNNNNNNNNNNNNNAGUCUUCUUUAACGGUCAAUUGACGACAAGGGCAAAUCAGUCGAGAAUUCAAAGUAUAGGGUAUACCAGUUUAAAAAAAAAAAUGAGGGAUAAAACUAAUUUUAGGUAUAAACUACAGGGUGUCACAAAUAUUUAAUCCUUUUUUAUUAUCAAUCUUCUUGUUAUGUAUUACAUUUUUGAUGCAAUUGCAGACACUGCUGAAAGAUGGGUUCUACCUCUCAGAAACGUAAGUCUUAUUUUGUUUCAUGAAUAUUGUAUGAUGUACCCCUCUGUCGUCUUAACCUGAAUUUUGGACUUCUGUUUUCUGUACAACUAGCUGACCUUUGAUUAAUUUAUGCUGCAGUCUGCUUUAAGCUGACUUCAUGUAAUCAAAGCAAUCCAAGUCAAAAUAGUUAUGCAUACAGAAUAAUGCUUAUUAAUGUAAGUUCUCUGCCCUGCUUCAAAAACAAAAAUUCGAUAUCAGCAGACUUCCAGUUGUACAACUCACAAUGUCUAGCUCAAACUAUCAUUGCUGUCCAAAUCCUUCAUGUUCCGGUGCCUGCUUAUUUCAAGUCAUCAAACCAUUGUAGUGCAAAGAUUGCAUCGCAAGGUUCCUCAAAAUGGGUCAAGUCCAUGGUAGAAUUUUCAUUACUAUAACAAUGUUCCGUCCCAUCAUUCGUUAUAAUAUAACUCUGAAGCGUAACAGACUUUAAGUAAUGCCGCCAACAUUUGUAGUGAGUCUCUUGACAACAAUCACAGGGGGACUCUCGUUCUCCAUCCAUUAACAUUUCAUGUAUGGACUGAAAAAUUGCAACAAGAAUCAGCAUAUAUAGAAGAAUUCAGGGAAACAUGUAUGGCUCAUCAGCUAAAUUCUGCACUAAUAUUCAAAGAGCCUCAUUGUCUGUCCUAUAAAAAAUUAAAAACUGCAUAUAUAUAUACUUUUACUAAUAGAUCGACGUAUAAGAAGAGUUACCUUUAUAAAGUUGUUUUCAUAGUCAUUGUCAUGUGACAUCUGCACCCGUACUUGCAUUGGUUGACAACUCCAUAGUAAGCCGUCAAUAAGAGCUUCUGCAUCAUCUGCAGGAUCAAAAGGAACCCUUACCAGAGCCAGUUCCCUGACUCUUGGCCGUGGAGUAACUUCUGUCUUCGGCAGCUUGCUUGAAAUUUUUUUCUCCUGCAAAGAACAGACAUAGGGAUGAGGUGUUAAGUAAAACACAGUUAAUUCUAAAAGCAAUUGAUUAAAGAGAAAAGCUAGUCUAUUGAAAACUUACUACACUUUGAGGAGAAUAUAUCUUUAUCUCCGACAAUCCUGCUACAUGUGGUGAACAUUUGCCAAGAUAACUUCGCAAGUGGAUAAACCAUUCAGUGUCCAAAGUCGGUUCAUCCAGACAGAGAAUGUGUUUCUCUAGCUUGACAGAUUUGAAGGAAAUCGAAUGUGAAACUCCGGAACUGUGGCUUUCGUAAGAAACAAGACUUGGAGCAUCUAUGAUGAUGUUCAUUGCAUCAGAAGUUUCUCCAGCUAUAUUUAAUUUAGUGAGUGAACGACUUGAUAUAUUGAGACAACAAGUUUUGAGCUCAUCAUCAAUAUCGUCUGCCGAAGCAAAGCAGUCAGCAUUCAAGACCAAGUCUUCAAGCAAAGGAAACUUGAGAACAACUUCCUCGAUGUAUUGGUUGGUAAUCGUCGUUUGUUGAUGAUCUAUGUCCAACCUCUUUAGAUUUCUGCAACAUACUUCUUCAAGGUUCAAUGGCCUUUCCCUUGCACACUCCUGAUAAUCAAGAGAUUCAAGAUUGGGUGCUUGCAUCUUGAAGGUGUGAGGUACAUCAGAAUAAUUCUGCAUGACUACAACAUUCUUUAGAUUUGGAACAUCACAAAGUUCAACAUGUUGCAUGUCUUCACAGUAUGUCAAAUCCAAACUCUCCAGCAAAGGGCAUCUAGAAAAGAGCUCCCCGACUAGCCCAUUCAAAUCGACGUACCGCAAUCCGAGCGAUUUCAGGUGACAGAAGAUUGUAUCCUUUUGGAUUAAGGCUGGGUCCAAAAUACAAUUUGUUAAGCUCAGUACAACCAAGGACCCAACAUCAAAAGUAGCAGGAGGAAAGCUAUGUGUUAUAUCGAGCUUUAACUCUGUCACGUAAUAUUGGGUGACCAUCUUUAUCCAGCGGUCAACAUCAAAUCUUGUCAUCUCCUCGACUCCAUCUCCGAGUGAGAAGUGAACGAUUCUUUUCUGACCUUCAUGUUCGAGGAGACUGCUUGUAAACGAAUCUUCCAUUGAAACCGAGUCCUCUAAAUUAAUACGAGUAACUGGUAAUGAGUUCCACCCAGUGUUCCAUAGGCUCUGCCAGUGCCUGGACGAGAAGCUCAUACGGAUCGCAUCUUUAGUUGGUAAAGCAAAGAGGAUUUUCUCCUUGAGAGGCUCCGGCAACUCGGAUAUUAGAUCCAUGUGUAUGUGUGUGUAUGAUCUUGUUGAUGAAUGAGCUGGGGAUCGACUGCCUUCAAUUUGAAAGACUUUGAUAAUCUCUGUUCUCUGGAGCCCUAGCUAAAACCCUAAACCUAGCACUCUAUUUAUAUGGCUCUAUUACUUGUUUCUUAAGGAAUAUUGUGACCCUUAUUAUUAAGGAAUAGCAUCAUAGCGUUUUCGAAGUUGCCUAUUUUUUCCUUUGGAUUGAUUUCACCUAAUGAAACUUGGCAUUGAACUUCUCUCUUCUAACAAAGCGCAAAAGCAACAAAUGUGAUAAAACCCUACACAAAGGCCUCAAUCACUGCUCUCAAGUCCCAUGGCAUCCUGCACAGUUUUCUCACUUCCUGGCUAUUUUGGCUUUGAUCUUGGCACGCUUGCAGACUUGUAUGACUUUGACCAAAUCGACAGCCCUACUGUUCUUCAACUCAUCACACAGAUUGUCUAUGGCCGGAUCUCCAAUGCCACAGUAAUUCUCAGUCGGGAUCUUAGCAACCGUUCCAGCUUCUGUGUAAAAGACCCGUAAGCUUUCAUCUAGUCACUUCUCUGAUUAACAUAAAAGAAAAGAAGAGAUUGCUGGAUUAUAUAAUUGCCCAAUGAGUGUGACAAGUCGGCUCAAUUCAAUUUAUGCUUAAAAUUCAAAGUUCACUAGGUCAUAUAUAGGUUCCAUUGGCAUGCUUAUAACAACACACUUACUAAUUGUCCAUUCCGUUUCUUUGUUAGAGUUACUCUAUUAGAGCAUCUUUAACAGACUCUCUACUUUAACUUCUUAGCUAUUUUAGAGAGCAUGUUUAGUUUUUUUGGAUAUUUUAGGAGCUCCAACAGACUAGCCAAACUUGAGCUAUUAUGAUUUUUAGUUAUCUCGCUAGCUAUAUUUAGCUAGCGAGAUGACUCAGAUGAGGCUAGAUAUAAUUUAAUGUAUUCCUUGUAAGAUAUUUUAUGUGAUAAAUAAAUAUAUUUAAACUAUUUAAUUUCUAUUUGAAGAAUUAUGUUGAUGUAAUGCUAGCUAAAAUAGAGAGCAUUGAUGCAGCCACAUUUCUAAAAUUGCCAGCCAAAAUGACAUUUUAGCUAAUUUAACUAAAAUUUAACUUAAAAAUGGCUAGUAUUGCUAAAGAUGCUCUUAGACUAGAUUUUUUUGAUGGUUUUGUAAAUAUGUUCCUAAUUAAAGUGAAAAAGUAAUAGAUUUUGAUGCCCAGUUUGUUGUUUCAGGGAAGCUGAUUGGAAUCAGGCAUUUAACUUUUCGUCCAAUCUGGAUUUCUUAAUUUCAUGCAUUCAAAAGACUAAAGGUACAAAUAGUUUUGAUUUAGAAAGGCAGUGGAUGUUUGAUUUAAUUGUUUGGUAAGCAAAAAAAACAGGGAUGGAAAUUUGUAAGCAAAUGGUUUUGUAACUUUUGCAAAUUAAUCAAAAUUAGAUAGAUGCUUCAUAAUCAAAUACAGAUAGAUGUUUCCAUGCUUCAUUUUAUGGCUCUUAGAUUGCCUAAUAUAUUAUCUGUGGUAACAGUCAUUCCUCCUGAACUACCUAUCAAUCUAGUUUUGAAUUUGAGCAUGUUAUAUAUACAGAAAAUUACAUAGUAGCACACGACCAAAUUUAAAAACACAAAAAACCCAUUUUUGAUAAUUUUUGUACAAAUUAGGACAAAAGCCCGAGGCCCAUAAUCUAUGGUACCAAACCUAAUCCGAUUUUUCUCUGCUAAAUGACCAAAAUACCCAACUUCACAACAGAAUUACAAUUAAUACCAUAUAACAUCUCUCUCUCUCUCUNNNNNNNNNNNNNNNNNNNNUAAGCCCCGCGUACGACAUGUCGACAUCGCCACCACAAGAGCCGCAUUGUCGUUGUUCUCUUCCCAGGAAAAGGCAUGGUCACCAAUUCGAUUCCUAUUAAUUAUGUUUGGGUUUGCUGGGAGUGGUGGGGGUGGGAUUGCUACUGUGCAAAGAUGAAGCUCAGAGCUAACUUGCUUUGAUUUGUUUUGGCUUUAAUUAGUGGUAGUUGGUUUGUGAUUUGAAGACUACGACGACAAUCUCAUUCUCUCAUCUUUAGGCUUAUAAGGUAAGCUACUGUGCUUGUGACUAUUUUUCUAAUUUUUCUUUUUGUUUUUUUUUUGUUUUUGUUUUUCCUAUUUUGAACAAAUCUCUUAUUACUCUAAAUCACGAUUGUUAAAGAGGAAAUUGAAUCUGUUGCUAAAAGCUUUGAAUUUGUAGUUGUCAUCGGUGAUUUAUUAGGAUUGUGGCUCGGUUAGUAUAAUUAUGUAUGGGAAAUAGGAGCUUUCGAGUCAAUAGUAGCAGCUUUAGAGUUGACAGUAGCAGAUUCUUUAAUCGACAGUAACAGCUUUGUUUGGUUCCGAAGAAAUGCCGAAAAAAAUUGCAAUAUAGCACCGGUAGUAGCACACUGCCCUAUCGACAGUAGCACACUUUUCUAUCAAUAGUAGGCAGUAGCAGGCAGAUUGGUAGUAGAAGUCGACAUUAGCAGUUAGAUUUGCGGUAGUAAUAGCCAUUUCGUCGUCAGUAGCAGAAAGUUUCUAAUAACAACAGUAGCAGCUUUAUAAAGGUCUCAUAUCGCAACAUUAGCAGCUUUGUUUGAUUCCGGAGAAUUGCCUAAAAUAACACCUUUUUAUCGGGUGCUACUGUGCUACUUGAUAGUAGCACCCAAUGUGCUACUGUGCUACUCGGCAGUGUGCUACUAUGCUAUCGUUGGCAGUAGCGGUUGAUAUGUAGUGAAGGGUAUUAUGGUAAAAUUAUUGUGACAGAUGGCAUGUGGAUAUUAAUUUGUCCUAAUUUGUUAAUAUUUGUCCUUAAAUGUGUAAGAUAUUGUGUAAAUGAUGUAUUUGUAAACUGAAAUUUGGUUAGUAACUUUAUUGUAAUUUACUAUUAUAUAUAAGUCAUAACAUCUCUUAAUUUCCUGGUGGUUCUACGGUUCAACAGAGAUAUUACACAGCGUUAGUGUACAGCAGCAGAGAUGAAAUUCUACUUUGAAAGUCUGUUUGAAAAAAUCUGAGAGCGAAAAUUACUUUAAGCCUAACAAAUAGUAAUAUUACCUCAUGGAUUUCGGGGUGUGAGCCUGGGUGGGAUUGUAGCAGCGGCCAGAACAAGCAUUUUGAUGACCUUCAGAAUUCAGACAGCAUUCUUGCAAGAACUCACAACGGCCAGCCUUGCUGACUUGCUGUGAUGGAUUUUUCUGUCCACACGGUCUUACUUGCAUGAUACGUAAGUAGCUGAAGUCCUCAGUGCUUCGUUUUUUUCUUUCUAUUUUUUUUCAUUAAGAACUGGAAAUAGCUUCUAGGAAUGGAUAUUGUGGUGCUGAACUGUUGAUGAUUACCAUCCCUCCCUUUCUCUAAAAUGUACCUGUGUUUCCUUGACGGAUUUCCACAUACUUUCUCUCAACUGAAAAGUUUUUUAAGCUUGUCCAUCGGGUUCUUAUUGUCCUCUGGCAACACUGGACAAAAUCACUGAUGUUUGUGAACCGUAAGUUCAGAUUCUAGCUCUAGCGAUCAUUGUAUAUCUAUUGUGUUCAACAGACUUUAAUGUGUAAAAACUAUUCAUUAGUUAGUGUGUUAUUGCAAAUACAAAUACCAACUACCUCCAGGGAAAUCAAACCAUACUUGUGGAGGAGCAAACAGAUGGGCUGAUAUUGGUACUAGCUAGCAGUGAUAUAUUCUGUCCAGUUGGAUCAUACUGUCCAACAACUGUUAAAAAAACUCCUUGCAGUAGAGGGUAAGAUGUUUUAUCAAUCCCUACGUUUUUAUCAUACUUGCUUGAUGUUUAUUUAGUUGUCUCUUUUAUAAUUCUGACUUGACAGAAAACUUUGAACUAGGAUGAGAUUUGUGUUUUUUUAGUAUCAAUCUUCUUAUGUAUUAUUUCGUCCAAAAAAAAAAAUCUUCUUAUGUAUUACUAUCUUUAUUAAUGCAAUUGCAGACCCUACUGCAAGAUGGGUUCUACCUCUGAGAAAUGUAAGUCUUAUUUUGUUUCAUGAACCUUGUAUCAUGUAUCCCUCUGUCAUAUUAACCUGCUAUUUGGAUUCUGUCUUUCUGUGUAACUAGCUAACCUUUGAUAAAUUCAUGCUGCAGUCUGCUUUAAAGUUUAAACUGACUUCAUGUAAUCAAAGAAAUCCAAGUCAAAAAAGUUAUGCAUACGGAAUAAUGCCUAUUGUAAGUUCUCUGCCUUACUUCAGAAACAAAAAUUUGAUAUCGAAACAUAUUGUCCUACUCCAUGAUUAAUUCAAGUGAAGCUCACUAUGCUCAUCCUAACAGAAGUUCCUAUACUGUACAUAUCUGAUACUUUCCAGAGAGAAAGUGUUCGGAAUUGCUGUUCUAUACUUUCUUUUGGGAUCCAAUCUAUGUUAUCUUGUAGACAACUUGUUUGUGUAGUAUACUUGAGGAAGCAUACUUAUGAGUGCCUGACUGGUGCACAGUUGGCACUAUCAAGAACUAGAAAAUGUCAAAUGAACUAUAUCCUAUUCAAUUUCUUAUGCAGGCAGCUCUAUGUACUCUUCUACUUAUUGUUUACAAUUUUUCCUACCAAGUUCUCACCACUAGGAACCGAUCAUUGGCCAAAUCCCGGGAAGUGGCAGCAAAAAUGCAAGACAGCCAUGCCACGCCAAAAAAAUUCAUAUUUUGAAUUUCUCCCAGUUGAACUAGUUUUACCUUUAUCCAUGGCCUGAAAAAAAUAUGGUUAGUUAGACAAUGUGGUUGUAGACUUGUAGUCACAGAUUCGUUGUUUCUACUUUUUGAUGAUGAUCUUCUGAUUUUUGAAGAUUGUCAGCAGACUUAUCGAAAGCAGAUGAGUUUCUAGUGACUGAAAGAGUUAUGCUCCAGUUAUGCAUUAUUCAAGAUGUUUGAUGAUCUGGUACUCCUGGCAAAAGGGGGCCUUAUUGUCUACCAUGGAACAGCAGAGAAAGUUGAAGAAUACUUUGCAGGCCUUUGGUGUCAAUGUCCCAGACCGGAUCAAUCCUCUACUUCAUUGACAUUCUGGAGAGUAUAGUAACAACAGAAAGCAGCUCAAGUGUAACUAUAAAGAGCUUCCUGUCAGAUGGAUGCUUCAUAAUGGGUAUUCAGUGCCCCCUGAUAUGUGGCUGAGUACUGCCGGACUUGCAUUGUCCUCAACCGGUGGAAAUCCAAUAGAUGAAUCAAAUAUUUCUGCUGCUGAGAUGGAGGAACCAUCUUUUACAGAAAGUCUAUGGAAUUACAUAAGAACUAAUGUGGAAUUGCAGAAAGUCAUUCAAUACGGCUCAAUUUCUUGAAAUCAAAGGAUUUAUCAAACAAGAAAACUCCAGGAAUACUUGAGCAAUACAAUUACUUCCUCUGCAGGUACAUUAUAAAUGUUUUCAGGUGCUUUUGUAUAUCACAUUCUGAUAAUUCCAUUACUUAAAUACAGAAGUAAUGUAAGUAGUUGAUUAUUUCAAGUGCAAUGUAUUUCAAGUGUUUUCAGAAGUAUCUGUGAGUAGUUGAUUGAUUAUGAUAUGAAAAACUUGUUUUUGCUUCCUCUUGUUUUUUAAUUUGUGUUAGUCAUAACUCUGAGAACCAAAUGAAGGGUGAGGUGCACUCAUGUCACUUUGGCAGUUUCAUCAUCUAUGUGAUAUGUCAUUUUCUGAGACCAUUUGAAAACUUGUCAUAUCUUGUGUGCUUUAUAUCUAUGGAGUUCUGCCGUGGGGAAGGACAUAUAAAACAACAGAAGUAGACAGAGUUAGUAAUUUAGUCCGUGCUUUAUAUCUUGUAUGUACUUCCCUAGCUAUUUCCUAAUUUAGUUUGCAACUUUUGAACAAUUCAUCUCAUGUCAUAGUUAGUAGGCAGAGACUUCGAGAAGCUCGCAAGCAGUCGAUCAUUUGAUUUUAUUACUUGCUGGAGCCUGUUUAGGAUCACUUGCUAAAAGUGAGCGACCAUAAUUUUGGGGCACCUGGUUAUACAUAUACCAUCGUUGCAAAUUGCAAGUACAAUUAGUAGUUACAAGUCAUUUUCUUCACCUCUAGACUCAAAUGAUUUGAUACUAUUUCUCUCCCUGGUAACAAAGGAAGUAUACCUAGGCUUAACAGAUGCACACCUUCUAUACUAAAGUCAAUAUGAUAGCCGAUGCGUAUUUUAUUUCCAUCAUGCAUAUGUGUAAUGUCUGCAUAUCCUUACCAUUAAUCUUGUUCCUGAUUUGCAACUCUACUGUGCAAAAUUGCGGCUUUGAGAUUGUUUUCUCUUGAUAGUUACACUAUUGGAUUGAAGCAGCAUCUGGGAUGAGCAGCUUGGCUUAUUUUCUCGCUAAGGAUACAGUCGAUCAUUUUAAUACAGUGAUCAAACCUUUGGUGUAUCUGUCCAUUUUCUACUUCUUCAUCAACGCAAGAUCUAGCUUAGCAGAUAAUUAUAUUGCUCUACUCUUUCUUCUGUACUGUGUAACUGGGAUAGCUUAUGCAUCAGCAAUCUUCUUUGACCAAGGUGCAGCCCAACUGGUCAGUAAUAUAGAAAUGCAGCACUUAAGAAUGUCGUUCAUUUUUGAGAUAUUUUUUCGGAUUUUUUUGUUAUUCUUGCAGUUAUCAGUCCUUCCUGUUGUUUUGACUCUUACAGCAACCCAGCCUCAGAUUGUGACAGUCUAAAGAUUUUGGCCAUCUUAUGCAACCCUAAGUGGGCUUUGGUGGCAUUUGUGAUUGCAAAUCCUGAAAGGUAGUUCAUAAUUUCUCUGAACAAGUGGUUGCAAGCUGAACUAUUAUUGGUGAGUUUCACUGAUCUCAGUCACUGAACUAUUUCCUAUCUGUAACAGGUACUCUGGAGUAUGGCUAAUAACUCGUUGUGGGAGGCUUUUGAAAAAUGGCUAUGAUCUCCAUGAUUGGAAGUUUUGUAUAACUGUUUUGAUCAUCACUGGUUUAGUUAGUCGUGUGAUUGCAUUCUUUUCUAUGCUGAUCUUUCAGAAGAAGUGAGAUUUCAGUAAACAGCAAUCAGCAGACGACCAAGUUUUGUACAAACUUGUGAAGAAGUUCCUGAAGGGUUCAUAUUGCCUUCAAGUUGAUUCCCAAAGAAACAACAUAGAGAUAAGUAGUAAAAUGGUUGCAUUUUGAAAAGAACAUUACAUAUGAUAUCCCAAAAGUUUUAAGAAGAGAAAAUAGAAUGUGACAGUAUUGUCUCUAGUUUGGAUCUUAUCAUCGACGAAACUCAUUAAGAUGUUGAAAGCAUGAAAAUUGAGAAAUGGGAUCUUUGCAAGCAUAUAUGAAAGGUUAGAGAUAACAAAAGGAAAUGGAGACUGGACAAAUACAUUUGGAAAGAAAGAGCAUAUGGUUCAUCUCAGACAUGCAUGAACUUAAACCAACAAAGUUUAGAUUUGUGUAAUGCAACAUUGGUCCAGAAAAUGACUGGCGUAAUGUAACCUGAAAGAACAUUAUCCUCACCACAAAACUCAAAACAAAGACCACGAAACUCAAUUCCUUGUUUUUGGAAUACAUUUGGAAUAAAGACCAGUCUUGUUUUUCGUCCCAAAGUUAGGCAGCCUUCAAUCAUAGACAAAGACACUUCAAAUUUUCCCCAAGCCUCCUGUGAUAUUCCCCUUCCUUUCUCUCCGGCCACAGUUUUUCAAUUCCACCAAGUUGAUUAUGAUAGAGUCACUUUCUUGCUCAACAAGUGUAACAAAUCUGGUGGUUUCAUUUCUCCGUAUAUGAGAAUAAUGAGUGAAAGUAGAAGAGUGCUGCAUUACGGGACCCAAAGAAUAGUUCUAGGGGACUGUCCCUUGGUUUGGGUCUAUCCUAUUGAAACCAAUAUGGUCUAUUUCUACUUUCUGCCUAACCAAGGUCCCAACCCAAAAGGAACACCAUGAAGCAUACUCGUUCAGAAGCUUUACAACCCAUCAUUAUUGCAAUGUAGGAGCUUUACUUGGUAGUUAUCAUACCAAAUGCACUAAAAUUCUGUGGGGGGUGGAGGGGCUCAAUCCGCUCAAUGCAUACCCCAACCUAUAUAUGGCCAUUUCAAGUAUCUGCUUUACAUAAGCUACAUGGUCAAUUUGUGCGGAAAGCCUGUAGAUCUGUUUGCGUAGUGCACCUUUCAUGGGUUAGCACACAUAUCUCACACGUCGAUUUAUUCUCUAGUGUAGCCAACUACCCAUCCACCCAAAUGACCGAGUAACACCCAUUGCUACCUAAAGACACCACUGAUAUGUUGUGAUUCCCACUCUUACAUCCAAAAUGGCUCAUUACGAAACCAACAUAGCCUAGAAGAGAAUGGUGGGUUUGUAAUGUCACAACCAGCCGGGAGACGAACGACAUCAAAAUGUUGCCUACAUUCUUGGUGUAGGGAAUAUUUGUGUAUCAUCUGGUUAGAUAUCUGGUGACUGGUGUUAUGUUUUUCUUCUACAGCAAAGUUGACUAGUAUUAGGUGCACUUAUGAUAUCCCUAACAGUUACAAUUAUUGGCUCUAUUUGAAACAAUAGCUUAGUCUUCAUGGUGUUACUAAACUCUGUUUGCAGUCAAACAUAAUUAAGGACCUUUCAGGUCAAGUAAAAUAACUGAGAAACAAAAUCACUUCUUGUCUCCUAGCCAGAGAAGGACAUUUUUGUUUGCAGAUAAUUAAGAAUUAGGUAGAGAUGGUUAAAAUAGUCAAUUGUUUGUUCCCCCAACAAAAAGUCAGAAAAUUAGUCCCUCUCAAAAAUGGGAAGGUGGAUUUCAUUUCCAUUAUGUCAUUCAUUGUUGUGUAAAAAUGCAAAUGGUCUCCAUCACAACUCGCAAAUGGCCAAAUCAAAUCAAACAGGUUUUCAUCAUGUUUUGUUUUUCUCGUAUCUUCUGCAAACAGGCAACCAUCCAGUGGUCUCAAUCAAAAUGAUGGAAAGCUCACAUGUGUGCCCAAUUGGCAAUUGCAAAUCAAUCAAAACACAGUUUUCUUUUGUAGGGGGCCAAAUCAAACUGAUAUACAGACAGAUCAUCCGGUCAAGCACUUGACACCUUAUAAACCCAAACCAAUAGGGCUAAAGUGGGUUGCUUACACAAAACUAGAAGUUAGAAUAAUGUACCAUCACAACAAAUUGUCUUUUUUAUCUCUUUUCCUACAAGAGGCAUGAGGAAUCAGUACAACUUUUUCAGCAAAAGCAAACACUCAUACACAUUAGUUGGUUGCAGCCAGUAUUUCUUUGCUCUCUUUCCCUUUUUUCACUGAGAAAUUAUAAUACCAAAACUUUAGGUAGGAACACAAAAUUAGGUCUACUAAAAUUAAGUACAGGCUUCAGUUCUCCAGAUUAGAGCUUCUCAGUUCUUCAGUUCUUUACCAGUGCGAACUACAUAAAGUACCAUUAAACGACUGUUAAUACAUAAACAAAUUAUUUAAGACCGAUGAGUAGAUAAAAGUAGAGUAAUAGAAUAUCAAACUCACUACUAAGUGCAGAAAGUUCAGAGCUCUUGAGCACACGCAACCUCUUCACAGUAGACACAAACAUGCUGCAGAUCAAACAUUGAGGUAUUAUCAAUACUGAUUGUUUAUGCAAAAAACCAAAUGCAAAACUGCAAGACACAUUGACAAAGGGACAAUCAUACAAAUUUUUCAGGUGCAAAAAGACAUGCUAUGAUGCCAUUUCAUCUAGUUGUGGGGAAUCACUCGUUACAUAUAUAACUAAACAACAAACAAAAAUAGUACCAUCAUAUUCAUGAAUAAAAAAAGUACAAAAGCAUAUUGAUUGUAAAGAGAUUAGGAAUCUAAUGCUGCAUGAUUUUAUAAAUGUAGAUUUGCUAUUAUAGGCUCAAAUCAUAUCACAACAAGUGUUAAAAGGAAUAAAAUAUGAGAAAGAGCAUUAAUCUAAUUUUUUUUUGCAUCAGAUCCAGAGUGAUAAGAUAGAUGCUUACUGCCAUGGGACAUCUCCAACAAGCAUCCUGUCACCUUCAUUAUCUUCAUAAACCAGAGUAUAUUCUCCACUUCCAUCCAAUAAACCUGUAAUUUCUUUCUCUUCAUCUAUGUUGUUCUUGAUUCCACCAGCACAAGAAUCUCUUUGAGCUAACCACAAGAGCAAAAGACAAAACAAGAUUAAAUAAUUACAUCUUUGAAUUACAAAAGAGUUCAUUUUCAUGCUAUAUUAAUAGGCCAAAAAAUCUAAGGAACCCAUCUAAAAAUUUUGAAGGGUAGUUACCGUUAAAGAAAUAAUUUAUGCAUAAAUAUAGUUUUAGUAAAAACAAAACAAGAUUAAAUAAUUACAUAUUCCAAGUACAAAGAGUUCAUCUUUUAGGCCAAAAAUCUACGGGAACCAUCUGACCAAACUGGAGGGUAGCUUCAAUUAAAAGUAACUUUAUGCAUAGAAAGUAGGUUUGGUAAAAACUGAGAGGACAAUAUGGAAUAGCUGUUGAUCCAUUAGAUAGACAAUAAGAGCAAAGACAAAAAAAUCAACUACCUCUAAAAAUAGGGAAAAAAGAACAAAACAAAACAAAAAAACCUAUGUUUAGUAAAAAGGCAAAUAAACUUCUUUGAUGUGGUUAAACUUCACAAGUACUUUAUGCAUCAUAAAAUUUGUCUGGUAAAAAAUGGAUUGACUGAGAUCAUCUAUAUAUGCUUUGAAAACCAGGUAUGGUAUGUCAAACUAGAUUUGAAAUAUAGCAAGUAUGACUUACAUGCACACAUUAAUUUCUUCCAACAACCAAAGAGAACUGGAUCAUUUUUAUAGGUAAAUUUACUAAUUACUACGUGGGUAAAAAAGAUUUGAUCCUAUGUUACAAGCACUGAUAAAAUUAAUAGUUGAAACAUGAACUGUUGAAUAUAACAAACAUAACCUAUGAACAGGAGACAUUUACAAUGGGUAAAGUCACUACAGUAACUUAGAACUACGAUCAUUACCUGCAAGGAGCCCACGAAAGAGUUCAUCAACAGCAGAGGAGAGCUUCUCAUAGCUGGCAUAAGCACUGAGGUCUACUUUUCGUCCAAUGGGGACUCCAUCCAUAUUGAUUUUCACAAACAUGCCUUUUCUGCUGGUUUCGACUGGUUUAACAUUAGGAACCUUGCUGGGGUUUACAUUUUGUGACUCAGGUGCCGGUUUUGAAGCGCUGGUGCUCGCAAGAUUCUUCCGAAAAGAUCUAAUUGGAGGCCAUCCCACAACUGGAGCCGGAGCAGUUCUGUUUAGUUUGUAGAAGAACACACACACACACAAAAUUAGUUCGAUCACAAUGAAAGAUAUACCAAUAUAGUAGUGUUAAGAGUCCUGGGGUUAAAAUAAAAUAAGAAUAAUUUCCAUAUUUACACUAAAGGACUCAAUAGAAUAAAAGAAACUGUUUUGUUGCAAGCAAAUCUGUAAAGAACAGUAACAGAAAAGCCAAGUUAUUGCAUGAAAUUCGAUAGGAGGAUAACCAAAGUGAAUAAUAUCAGAAGAAUUAUGAUAUGCUUAUGGAAUAGGAGAGAGCCAGGAAAAAAAAAAUAGUGAAAAAAAACCUUUGUAAAUGUAAUUGGAAAUCAUUUGACACUAAGAACUUCAAAGUAAGACAUAUUUAUUACAAGUAGAUUUGGUAAGAUUACAUAACUUUAAGGAAAGAGUUGCACGAAAAUGCAAGAACACGUAGUAUGCUUGGUAAGACCAACAAAAAGCUAUACAUCCGAAUGACUAAGCAACAAAAAUGUAGCAAAAUCUAUGCAGCAUGGCAGUAGAAAUUCAAGACUAAGGAAAUUUAAUUUGACUCUAUUGAAAAAAUUGUCAAUAUUUACCAGAGCCACCAGAUUUUUAUAUAGAAACAUAAAGACGUGCAGCAAUUAUGCAUGGACCACACUUUGUCUAUAGCUCUAACAAUGUGAACCUUGUGAGUGAAUAAUGCGAAUAUCCUGUUUCUGAAAAGCUAAAAGAUACACAAGAAAGAUGAAAAGAAAAGCCGAGACUACCUUUUCUGAGAAGUGUUGUUGGUCACAGCUGGAUUUGCAGAAGCUUUCUUCUUCUCUGCGUUCUGCAAGUCUACCGCUUCAGUGCAACAGGGCUGUGAGGUCAUCUGGGUGACAGGCAGGCUUUGAGAGCUUGGUGAGAACUGUAGAAAGGAAGGACCUUUUGUCUGGUUGUUGGGGUACCCUGAGGGAGAUGAAGACCAUGGAGAGGAUAGAACAGUCUUUCUCUCUGAGGAAGCAAAAUGGUGGGUUUGGUUUCCACUGCUGCUGCUGUUGUAGAAGUACCCAAGAGAAAGAAGAGACUCAUCUCUUUCUUUCUGGCCUCUGGAGGUGUUGUCUCUCAGAUUUGACCAGUCUUGACCUGGAGGGCAAAGCCUUAGCUCCAAUUUCUUCUCUUCUGAAUAGCCAUGGCUCUCAUCUUUGCUCACAAGCCACUCCCUUUCUUUCGGAAUCAAAUCCAGAAGUUGAGGACAUGCCUCCUCCAUCUUUUGCAUAUGAUCCAGAUAGUAAAUAUUCAAAAUCUUCUUUACCCUCCACUUUUCACACAAGAAAAUAGAUAUGGAGGAACUCACUGUGAAAUGAAGGAAAUAUAAAAGCUAUUAGAGUUUGAGACACAAAGACAAAACACAAAAUCAACAAACUUGUGCAGUACUAAAGAACAUGACCAAGGAAGAACAGAAGGGUCAAAUCAUAUACCUUGUGUAAGUCUUUCAAGUACCAAAGUUCAGACCUUUGAAGCCAAACUUAGAAGACAAAACCUCAAAGACCUUGAUAUUAUGAGAAAGAGAUGAAAAUUCAGCCAGAAAGGUAGUUUGAAGAAGAACCUCAAAGACUGAAACCCAUAUAACAAUAAGAGAACCCAAUGUAAAACCCCACAAAGAUGAUGAAGGAAGAAAAAACAAACACAACACCAACCCAAAAGCAAAAGGGAUAUGUGAAGCUAUGAUAGGUGUGGGAUUGAUAUCUCUUAGGCCAGAGUUUUUUUCUUUCUGAGUGGGUUCUCUCUUUUGAGACUUGGUUCUGGAAACAGGUAUUGAGACUUGAAGCCUUGAGGGUGAUUUGUGGCACAAGAGAAAUUAAAAGAGAGGAGAAGAAAUAACCAGAGAGAGAAAAGAGAGAUAGAAAAGAUAGAGAUUCCGACACCAAAACAGGAAACAGAAAUGGACGAGUACACACGCAACCAGAGCCCUCUUAUUACAAAGGGAAGGGGAGGAAAGGGUGGGAAGUAGCUAAGCUAAGCUUAGCCAGGCUAGGACUCUGAGGUUGUUCAACUCAAGAAGCAAAGCGUGCAGUUGCUGACCUCUCUCUUCCCCUAAAGAUACUCCCUCACACUUGAUGUGUCUACCACGCACACAACCCCAAACAUCCUUCUUUAUUUUUGGUCAUGUCCUUAACAAAGUAGAAGAGAGAGAGAGAGAAGACAUUGUACAACGUGACAUUCUUGCUCCCAAAGUCACUGACCCCUCAUAGCUAAGCUAAAGCUAUGUGCUUUAAGGUUAACACAUAAAACAAUGUAUUCUACUAUUGAUUAGUGUCAAAGCCACUCAUUAAUUAAGGGUGGGUUAAUUUGGAUAAGCAAAGGCAGAUUGUUAAUUAAUCUUUGGUUGCUUUUUAGCAGGCCAAGAAAUUGAUGGAUGGGAUGUUUUUGUGUGUGUUUUGUUUUUUCUUUUUUAAAUUUAUUUCUAUGAAAUUGUUAUGCUCCCAAGAAAAGAGAGAAAAAAAUUGAGAAGGGAUUUGCAUGAUCCAUAUUUGCAGGGCUUGUGCAAUAAAAACAUGCAGAUCCCAUGAUCUUCUCUCUGCUCUAUAUCUCUCUAUUGUUACCAUCCACACUUCCCCAAAAUAGGUGAGAGGUAUGAUCGUCUGCGGACAAGAACACCACAACAACCGUGGGAACCCUUAAUCACCGCCGUCGGGUAUAUGACUGUUGCUUUGAUAUUUGAACUAGUAAACACCGUUGCAAAGGUUCAGAGCUGAAAAGAGAGUAUAGGACUGACUCCUGAAGUAUAAAGGAGAUGUGCUUUGUAUGCAAUGUGAUUAUUAUACUCCGGCCCGUACGUGGGAGAAAGGGUCUGCAAAACUCGGCAAAUAAUCAUGUGAAUCGUUAUAAGUCGGUUGUUUUGACCCAUAAUUGGUGGUUCACCAACUAAACGAAACCCUCUGCGUUUCAUGAUCAUGUCCCAUGAUUUUCACUCAUGCAAGUGGAAUUGAAUGCAAUGUUCAUGGUAUUGCGUAGAGUAACAUUUGGUGCAAAAAUGUUGUUGAGAAAAAGAGUUUUGAUCUAUAUAACUAAUUAAGAUAGAAAUUGUCCACGAUAUGAGAUAUCGUACGUGAUACGGCGUUAAAAUAUUCAUUGAAAUGUAAUAUUGUUUUUUAUUAAUGGCAAAAGGCUAUAUUGAUAAUAAUUGAAAAUCAUAUGAAGUGAUUAAAAAACAUCGAAAGAAAAUAAGAAAACAUAAUAAGAUACACAUAUGCAUCUAUAAUGAAAAAAUAAUAAGAGAUCAUCAGACGCACUAACGCGUCUACAUUGAGACGUAGCCAGGAUGUGACUUGAUGCUUAACAUAUAUCAAAGUUCCUGCUUUUUGAGAAUUGUGUUUUUAUCAGGGAUUUUCCGAUUUCCCUUCCUCUACAUCUCGACCCCUCUUAUGGCGUGGGACUUUUGAGAAAUAAUUGAAUGAUUGAAUCGUGGGGAUUCAUAUGUUAUGAGCAUCGAAAGAAAAUUAUGGCUAUGAAAAAAAUUCAUGAGUCUCAAAACGACCAUUUACACACUUGGUUUUGGUCUAAUCCAAAUUUCUUGGAAAUAUUAGUUAUCGAGGAAGUCUUUGGGACUACGACACUAAUAAAGAAAAAGAAAAAAAAAUACAAUAUCUCGACUUUGCAAAAUUGUACUCCAAUGAUAUUGAAUAUCACCAAUGGGCGACUAACAUCGAGAACCACCUCACUGCCAUGACAUGACUUGGUAUUUGAAGAUGAGGUAUGUAUGCUAUAGACAUGGAUCUAAUAAAUAUUAAUUUUGGGCAAUGCAAGGCAAGUGUCGAACUAGCUGCACAAUAUAAAGUAUAUAAAUAUAGGAGAAAUUACUGGUCACUCCAUUAACUUUCAUGUGCUUGACAGUUUACUCCAUUAACUUUCAAUUUCAAUCGAUUACUCCAUUAACUAUCCAAUGUCACACAAUUAGGUUCAUCCGUUAAGUGGCCGUCCAAAUCAGUGGUUAAGUUGCUGACUGGACAUAUUUUUCAACUGGAAAUUUCAUUUAACACCCUAAACUAACUCUCUCUCUCUCUCUCUCUCUCUCUCUCUCUCUCUCUCUCUCUCUCUCUCUCUCUCUCUCUCUCUCUCUACUCUNNNNNNNNNNNNNNNNNNNNAAUGGAAUUCCAGUUGAAAAAUAUGUCCAGUCACAACUUAACCACUGAUUUGGAUGGCCACUUAACGGAUGGACCUAAUUGUGUGACAUUGGAUAGUUAAUGGAGUAAUCGAUUGAAAUUGAAAGUUAAUGGAGUAAACUGUCGAGCGCAUGAAAGUUAAUGGAGUGACCAGUAAUUUCUCCAUAAAUAUAUAAGAGAGAAAAAGGCUCAUCAUACAGCUGAAGAAGAAGAAGUUGAUGGCAGUGACGCCAAUCUUAUUUUAACAUACUUCAAAUCUGGCAAGAAACACAUUGAUGUUGAAGAUUUUAAUUGGAGCAUUUAUUUUCCAAUAAUACUUUGUACAGGCUUUUAUGCCUUAGUAAAUAAAUGACGAUUUGGCAUAGCUCUUAUUUUGGAUUAGAUUUUGAUAACAAAACCUCGAUGUAUGUUAGCAUAUUAAUAGAGUUUCGAAUUUAUCUGAGAUUUGAGCUCUACUCAAAUUUUAUUGAUGCAAUGACAUAUUGCCUUAUUAUGGUAUAUGAUUCGAAAGAAAGAAAUAAUUCCACCAUGAAUGCACAUGGUGUGGCAAUAUGAGUCAAAAGGGUGACAAAUAUUUUCGGCAACGAAUCGAAAAAAAAAAAAGUGAAAUAGUCAACUAUGACGAAAAAAGUCCACUAUGACGAAAAGUCAACUGCAAAACAAAAAAAAACCAACUGUGACCCCAAAAAAAGUCAACUGAAAAAAGGUAUUGUUCACAACAACAACAAAAAAUGUUGUUUAUUUGUGUAUAUUUACACUCACAUGUUAUAUGUCUUGAACAUAUGUUGACUGAUCUUAUAAUUUGUCAAUAUAUUACUUGGAGAGAUCGAAUAUUUAAAGUCGAUAAUAUGACUACUCACAUAAUACCCAAAAGUAGGUAAUUAUUUGUGGAAUAAUGUCUUAUAAUCCUUUUGUGACUUUCAUGACUCAAAUGAUUGAAUCAUCACAAUUGAUAAAAAAGAGCGAUAGACGGCACAAUUUCUUUUGUCUUUAUGACACUAUGAUUAUUAUUAUUGAAACUUUUUAUGCUCCAAGAGCUAAUCGAAUCUUUAUCAGCACUAAAAGAUAUAUUGCCAACGAUUAUCAUAUGGAAACGCAAAAGAGAGAAUGCACAUGAGUUCCUUUGCAUUACCUCUAAUAACUACGGACGUACACGAGUAUUAGAGAAGAAUAUGUGUCACUCUAGUGGGUUAUAUGUAACCACUUUCGAAAUUAUUCAAUCCAACAAUGUCAUAAGAGAUGAUCAUUGAGAUUCUGACACAUAGGCUUUGACAUGACAUGUUAAGACGUCAUGGUCAUAGUAUGAUGAUCCGUAUAUUGAGACUAAAAAAAAGUCACACGAACAUCCAUUAUUUUGAGUGAGAAGAAGCAAGAACCAAAAGAAUAUGGUUCAAGAGGCAUAUUACUACUUGUAUGAAAAUGCCGCUGCUCCCCCUAGCUAGGCAGCUCUGGGACAUUUUUGAUGCAUAUGUUGGUGCAAUCGUUCCCUAUUACGCUUCUGAAGUCAAUUAUGACUUUAUGGCUAAACCAAAAUCUUUAUUAGUUACUUUUGAAAGCCAAUUAAUAACUCGUUUUGUAAAGCCUAUUUCUUUGAAAAAUUAUGAUUGAGAACAUCUUAUGCAAAGGACACAUGUAUUCUCAUUAUGAUCUUAAUUACAUUGAAUCCGAGGGGAUUCUGAAGACAGAUUCAACCAACUUGCGGACAUAUUUGAUAUUUUAUGGUGUAAUUGGUUAACGUGUAUACACGCUGGUCACGUGUCGCACUAUCGUCUACUAGUUAUAUAUUAUGCUUAUAAUAUAACUUCUAGUUUAGACUGUAUGUUGGGCUCACUACCCAUGUUAGGACCCACCUUGAAUUUUACCUUAAAACCCGAAGUAAGUCAUGCGGGGAUCAUCUCUAAAGAAAAUUUUACCGAAAAUUCGGCAUAACCUCCUUUGAAAAUAGACAACCCUUCCUAAAAAUAAACCUGCAAACACUUCUAAAAAUCAAAUCCAACCUUAUACUUCUGGAGCCUUCGUGCUCCCCAAAUUUACGACCACCACCAAAAUGAUGAUAACAACAACUUUCAAAUCAACACAUAAAUAUCCAACUAAUAACAUACAUCAUCCUUUGGAUAUCUCCCAAAAUGAUAAACAAAGACUUAGUACACAACCGAACUAUUAUAUAAUAAUCCCAAGGUAAUCAGAGCUACUAAACACUAGCGGAAGCAAGAAAAUACACUGGUAGAUAAAGCAGGUAACCUACCGGUGAAAAGUGGAAGAAAUGUGGGUGACUAUACCUCGCCUCCUACUAGAACCAACCCGAACUCUGCAGACUGAGCAUUUUAAAACGAAGUGCCCAGGGGAAAAGAUUUGAAACCGUUAGAGUGAGUGAAUAAAAAUAAAUUAAUAAAUAAAUAUAUAUAUGCAUUCUCAUUUUAAUUUCCAUAGAAAUUAUGCUGCAUGCGACAGCUUAAAGCUUUCUACUCACAAACUGGCAAAUACAUGACUAGCUCCGGCCAGUCUCCAAAACUCAAUAAAAUAUAGCCUCUCAGGCUAAACUAUAUAUAAAUAUAUAUGUGUAUGUAUUUACACUCGUCAGACUCCUUGUACGAAUUCUAUGAACAAAAUAGAAAAAUAGAAAUUCAUACAAGGCUACGACGCUUGCAUUUAACGCUCAUGUCACGCCAUAAUGAAAUUUUUCCUCAUUAUGACCGAAGAGGACGAGUGUAUAAACGUGUGGACUCCCUAUAUGAAAACCUAUAUGAACAAAAUAAGAAAGUAGUUUUCAAAUAGGGCUACGACGCUUAUGUCUAACACUAACGUCGCGCCAUAAUGGAAUUUUACCUUAUUAUGACGGACCAAGCACGUAUAGCUAGCUAGCAUUUAUAUACAUACUAUCCUCAAAAACAUCCAAUAUACAUAUCCACCGAAAAUCUCAUUUUCGGUAACUCUCCAAACGAUGAAAAUUGUCAAAUAUCAGAGAAAGCAAUAAAUUUCAGCAGAAGAAUAACUUAUCAACAAUAUAAUGCAUCGCGUGCUUUUAAUUAAAACAAAAGUCCACUCACAAAAUAAGCCUAAGCCUGAUGUCGAUCCGAGGUCUCUUCUGCUCGAGUCUCCUCACGUCCUGUUCCAAAUGUAUAAUUAAAUUCCCAAUCGAAAUUCCAAUAUUUAAGCAAAAAUAGGCAAAAUUAAACGUGAGCCGUAACCACGCUCAUCAUUGCCUAACUUCGAAAUUCCUAAUUCAAAACGUUCCAAACUACAAUACCAUUAACGACAGCCUUAUUACAACCUUCCACAGAUCAAACAACUUUAAUCCAACGGCCGGAUUCUAUCCUAACUAACCGCCCAAAAUACCAAACUUUGAAAAAUCCCAAACCUAUCCAAAACUCCUCCAAAAAUUCAAAACUUCACAUUAUUAGUCUCCUCUUAAUAAAACAUAAUUAAAACUAUAAAAAAUCCUCUAAACAGCAGCGGCCGGAGGCCGACUCCGGCGACCUCCAAUGCCUACCAAAAUUUGACAGCAUCUUCCUCUAAAUUUACCAUUUUUACCGUCGUCACAUUUUUUCUCCUACGAAUAAUUCCUCCAAAAUAAACUUCCCCAAAAACCCCUCUAGGGACCAAUUAAAUUAUAAACUCAUUGACGAAGACGGUAAAACUCUUAUUAAAACUCAGCUAGUAAAUAAAGUAAAAAUUUAAGAGUCGAGAUGUGACAACCCAUGUCAUCUCAAUCAGUCAAGUAGACUUGAUAAUGUUAGAGAGUUUAUAUCAAAGAAUUAUGAUAACUAUUGCACAUCAUUUGAUGUUGAUAUUGAGUAUCACGUUCCCAUGUGCAAACCCAAAUGGUCUCGUGGAAAGUUAUAAUGAAAUGACUACAAUGGUAGCUUAAAUUUUGGUAAUAUGCACCAAUAUUUCCGAUUGGGUUAUGCGAUUGCAUGCAGCUAUACUAAUUCAUCUAUGAACUAUCAUCACUUAACCUUUCUUUGCGUUACAGCUAGUGACUUAUGCAUUUAUGUGCCAAAAUUUCGCAGCCACAGCGCAUUGUGAUGAGUUCUUAGACAUGAAUAAGUAUUUAUGUGAUGAGUUCUUAGACAUGAAUAAGUAUUUAUGUUGGAUAUAAGUCUCCAACUAUAGUCCAGUUUUUGAAACCUUGACAGGUGAUCUCUUUACUGUCAAAUUUGUGGAAUGUCACUUUGAUGAGACAAUUUUCUCGUCGUUAGAGGGAGAUAAGAACAAGAAUGUUCAAUAGUAACGACAAGAAAUUGUCUUCAUUUAUCUCCAUUUUGUCUCAUCAUGAUCCCCAAAACCGCACAAUAUUGAAGUGUGUAGAAUAAUUGAUCUUUAUAACGUAGCAGAUUCGAUGUCUGAUGCGUUAUCUAAUAUUGUUAAAGUGACAAGAUCAUAAUAUACAUGUUGCAAACAUGCCUAUAAGGAUUGGUGUCCUAUCAAGAGGAUAUGGUGCCACCUAAUGAAAUUGGUGUCGACGCCGUCAUAAUGGAUGGAUGGUUUAGUGACGCCAUAACGUGGCAUAAUGGUGUCACAAGCCGUGACUCCCCAAGCAAAAGGGGGAGGCCCUAUAGGUUUGAUGAAUACUCGCCCAAAAGAGAGAGCGAGUUUGGCACAACUUGAUCUAUUGAUUAUUAAUACUCAAAUUUGUCUCAUGAGAAUAUUUAUGAACUAUGGUUAUCAUUGGGAGACGCCUCAAUGUUAGAACGAACUCUUAAAAUAUAGAGAUCUCUACAAACUAUAAAUGACACUAGUGUACAUGAGGACGUGGGAUAUUGAGAUAUCGAAUCUUACUUCAUUGCAAUAUGUCAACGUAGUAAAAAUUGGCCUAAAAGGAAAAAAGCGAUCCAGGCUGAAUUGAAAGAAAUGUAUUUGGGUUAGUGAUGCCGACACACCCAAGUAUAAAGUCUAUCAAUUAUAAAUGAGUCUUUUUUAUAAAGCAUGAUUAUAGACUCGCCUCUUGGCGCAAGGCUUGUCAUAUUUCCCUGGGAUAGACUAUGAGACAUAUUCUCUAGUAAUAGAUGUCGUUACACUCUACUACCUUGUCAAUUUGGUAGUUUCCAAAUAACUUGACAUGCAGCUUAUAAAUAUGUGGUCACAACAUAUCUCUAUGGGGAUCUAAGUUAAAAGAUAUACAUGAAAGUCUAAGAUGGACUUCAUUUACCUAAAUCAAGUGGCUCUAGACUACGGCGCACGUUUACAAUAAGGUUGAAACAUUCCUUGAGUGACAAUUUAAUUGGGAAAGGAUAUGAUGAAUUAUGUCCAUACGUGUUUAUUAAAAAGGACAAUUUUCGGAUUUUCAUUAUUGCGGUUUAUGUCAAAUGACAUAAAUUUUAAUGGACUCUUGAUGAACUAAGAGAUACUACUCAGUAUUUGAAAUCCGAAUUUAAGAUAAAGAUCUUAGGAAGACAUGGUUCUGUCUCGAACUGGAAUUUGAGCACCAUAAUGAUGGUAUUAUCCAUCAAUCGACAUAUAUUAUUAGAUAUUAAGACACUCUAAUGAUGAUAUUAAAGGGAUAAAGUGAGGCCUAUAAGUAUUCCCAUGAUCGUUCAUAGUCUUGACCCUUAAAGGGAUACGUUUCGUCCAAGGGAUGAUGGCAAACAUGUUUUAGAGGCUGAAUGUCUAAUAUAAGUACAAUAAGUGCAUUAUUGUACCGAGCAAAAUAUACAAGACUCGACAUCUCAUCCAUAUUGUGAAUGUGCUAGCUAUAUUUAGCUAUGCGUCCACGCAUUGCCUAUGGAUUGGCAUAAAAAUAUUCGGAUACUUAUGAUAUUUUGGGCUUAUUAUAUCCCUACAAAGAGAAGAGAGUAUAUGGCAUGAUGGAUUACAUCACAUAGCCAUCGCCGCAAGCCAUGCGUGAAGAAAAAUGCAUUAAAAGCGAAAUCAGAAAAUCUGUUUUUACAGAUUAGUCAAUUUCGACAGAGCUUUGUGAUCAGCUCAGGACGAAUCUGAUAUGAGUAAUAUAUUCUUGUCAAGCUACGGAUGUGUAGUUUCCAGAACUUUUACGGUUCGUCCAUAUCUAUUUUGAACAUGAAGUUAUGACUGAUUUAGUACACGAAAGUCAUGCCACACGUGAAUCUGAUUUUCGACGCAAACUCUUGUUUUGAGUUCUUGGGCAGCCUCUACUCAUUCCACCAAAUAUUUGUGAUGUUUUGGUAGGAUUUGCUGAUAUCGGGUAUCUCUAUGACCCAUAUUAUUAUUGUUUCUGGAUGAGUUAUGUAUUGAGAAACACCAUAAUAUAUUGGUGAACAAAAUAGACUUUUGUCGCUACAUCUUUGAAUGAUGUCUAGAUGAUUUCUCUACAUGAAAUUGUUCUUGAGUGAAUAUGGUUGAAGCCUAUAAUUACACAUAUUCUAAGAGCAAAUGGUUUAAAGUUUCCAACAAAUAAACCUACAUACUUUUAUGAGGUUAAUGAUGCUUGCAUUCGACAUAUGAAGCAAUGUUUUAUUAAAAGCGACAACACCAAUUAUAUAUCAUGUACGUGAUCAGCAAAGAAUUAGUUUUCCUCAUGAUCAAAGUGAAACAAGCUAGAUAUGAGGAUAAUAUGACAUAUCUUUUUACUAGAUCACUGCCUAAGGUCACAUUUGAAAAACAUGUCUAAAACAUUGGUAUGCUUAAGUUAUUUAAAGCUCCCAUGAUUGUAAGAAUCAUAGGGAGGUGCAGACAUCAAGGGGAGUCUGGCACAUACAUGGGUUGAUACCAGAAAAAUAAUACACUUUGCCACACGACAAUUUGUUAUGCAAUUCAUGCAAAAUCUUAUAGUCUUGGGCUAAAUCUGUGAUUUUAACCGCCAAGCAAACAUACUCAUUGAUGUGGACCCAAGCCACAUCCACGCAUCUUUGGGGCUUGGAACGAGAAGUCCCUUUCUUUUCUGAGAUUAGGAAGGAGAGAGUGUGCGGCCGAUUCCAAAGCAGCUCCUUCAUCCUCGAAUGAUGAGAUCGUGGGCUUCAAGUUUCGUCAACCUCGUUCCUGAUUUUCUCUGCAGCAUUCCGUGCAGUGAGCCAACUCAUUCAUCUUCCAGAGCAAGCUUCCUUUUCUUGGUUUUCUAUGACCAGAGAAUCACAUGUAGGAAGGAAAUGCUUUUUACCCAGCAGAGUAGGCAUUGGAAGUCACAACAAAACCCACCAAUUUGAGCCCUAUAAGAAGAGAGAUUUGGAGCUGAGAAAUCGAUCAAGCAACCAACCUAGAAAAAUCCCCAAACACUCAAGCUUUUAUGCCUUCAAGCAAUAAGCCCUCUUAGCCAUUCCCCCAAUUCCUAUCCUUGAAAUCCAGCCUUUCCUCAGAAACCUUACUCUCAAAACCAGUUCUCAUUCAUUACGAUGUGUCUUUGCUAGGCUCACUCUACAAGUCUCAUUUGUUGUUUGAAUCACAUACAAGAUUUCUCAUUAAUCGAAUUAUUGAGUUAAUCUUGGCCUAAUCGCAUCUCAUUUCAAAAAGAACCCUCACAACAUGUCAAUUUGAAAUGAGAAUGAUGUGUUGUACUCUUUUUGUUCCUUCGACUAAGGUUAUUUUUGCCCAUGAUGUUUUAUUGUUACUUGGCAAGGUUUUUAACGAGACAACAAAGAAUGCAUCUUAAUAUAUCAUAUCAGUUUGACACGGCACGAGGGAGAGUGUUUAAGGAAAAUAGAUUUCCUAGUGUGUGCAUUAGUCAAAAUAUAAUCAAAAUAGGAUUCAAUAUCAAUGUGUUCCUUCGACCAAGAUUAUUUUUGCCCAUGAGGUUUUAUUGUUACUUGGCAAAGUUUUUAACGAGGCAACAAGGAAUGCAUCUUAAUAUAUCAUAUCAGUUUGACACGGCACAAGAAGAAGUGUUUAAGGAAAAUAGAUUUUCUACUGUGUGUAUUAGUCAAAGUAUAAUCAGAAUAGGAUUUGAUAUCAAUAUUGUAAUAUAAAUAUAUGUAUUUUUCUUAUGUGUUGUAUUCUCUAUAUAUAAAGACUUAUUUUUAUUCUAUGAAUGAAAUACAAUAAUUAUUCUCCUCAAUUUCUCUCUCUCCUAUUAUCUCUCCCGCAACAUUUUACUGAUUUUUGAAGUGUCAAAAAAUUAAGGAUUGGGCUUGGGGUUCUACCCUAGGUCCAUUCUAUUUUUCUAUUCUGCAAUUUUAUUUAGUAAUUUUGUUUUACUAUAUUUUAAUUGUAGUUCUAAGCGGCUUUAUGUCGCCAAUAAUACUCUAUCACCUUUUGAUAGGGUGCCAAGGGCCUUGUGCCGGUAUAUGCACUUUGUGUGCCUUAUCUGUUCUAGGUAGGCGGCGGGUCGUUUGCUUGGUCAAAUAGGUGCAACCUCCUAGUGGCAAGAUGAAACUUAAUAUCGUCGGGAUUAUUAUCGGGCGGCAACAUAGUAGGAAAGCUGUAUUAUUGGAUAUUAGGAUAUGUAAACGUGUUACAUGUCUACUGAUCUUUCUAUUAUGUCACCGCUGUGACAAAGCAAAUGGAGUCGUCAUUAGAGUAAUAUUCUUUACUAGUUGGUGCUUGUUUGAAUACAUGUACUUUGUAGUUGUAGAAAUUCUCGUUAUUAUUUCAGGAUUUCUAUAUGCUUAUUGUAAUCAGAGAUUUAGGCUUCAUGUCUCCCCGUGUAUUCGACAGUUUCAUUAAUAAAAGUUUGAGGGUAGCCGCAUCACCCUUUAUUAAAAAAAAUUAAGAGGAAAAAAACAUGGGUCAAAUGGUCAUUUUGAAUAAAACAAGCGAAAAAUCGGCGAGUUGACCCUAUGCGGUCGGGUGGUUUGGUUGGAUACUCAAAAACGAAUACAGUAGAGCAAAAAGUACAAUAGCUAGGUGUCAGGCAUAUAAAUGCUUCCAGCUUUUCUGGUGGGGCCACCUUAGCGUUGUUUUGGACAUCUCGUCGCGUGGGGAGUGCACGUGACACCCUUGGCCUCCAUCCUCCGACCAACCCAACAAGGUCGAAGUUUAACGCCACGAUAACGUACGGCGGGUCGUAUAAAAUGAAUUUGUGAUCUUCAUCGGGUUGUGUCAAACUGAGUUUCCAGUUCUCGGUGCCAGCGCGUGAGAUGUAGUCGAGUCACCGUACCCUGGUGAGAUGGAAGGGGUCAAACUCAGGGUGUCAGAGAUUCUACAUUUCGAAAUGAUGAAGGAUUUAUUCGACAGUAACCAAGGUCAAUUCUGUAUUUACAAUUGGGUAAAAUUCUAGAAUUUACCCUUGAAAAGAAAGGUUUUCACUGGUUUUAUGAUUGAAGAGGAACAAGUAGCCAUUAUCAGUGAUGAAUGGAAGUUGUCAGCCAUUGAGGUUCAUGAUAUGAUCCAGGAACUGUUUCAUGGAAAAUGCUGUUUAUUGGAUCUUCAUAAUUGAAUGCUAGAGACAAAAAGAACAAUAUGAAAUGUUAUAUGAUUAUUAUGCGUAUGUAAUAAUUGCGUAUUUGUAUUACGUACUUAUGUAAGUUAGAAUAGCUAGUAACAAUCUUUGUUGGUAAAUAGUAUACAGAUUUGUGAUAUAUAUAUAUGUAUUGACAAUCGAUUUACUGUCAAUCGUUACAUAAGUUUAAAAUAUGUAAUUUUUAACGAAAUGCAACUACUCGAUUUUGCGUGAUAGAGAUUGAGCUUUUGAGGUUCAUUAGUUCUAUUAACUGUUGCAUGGAAUAUUGGAAUAUGACCUUCAUAAUUGAAUGGUAGAGACAGAAGAACAUCGAUCUAUAACUAUCGAAACUAAUUGAUAAUCUAGCUAGUUUACUAAUGAUAGAAAAUAAAGAAAAAAGUGAGGCUAGCUAGUUUACUAAUGAUCUAUAACUUCACAGCAACCAUUGCUUUCGUCUCCUCCACGGCCGGAGAUUAGGACACGCCGAGCGUCAGGUUUGGCUCUCGCCGAUGAUGAUCGAGGAUGAUGCAGUUGAUGCUAGCUUGGCGAGCUAAUUAAGGGCUUUUGUAAAACGAGGUUUAGUCUAAUUCGAUCGAUUUUGCUGAAAAUUUGAUAAAAAGAAGUGUCUUUAUUGAAACCAAUUCCUUGAGCUUCAAGCAGUGUGUUCCGGCCAGUACUAUAUAUAUUUACCGUAGUCCCUAGGCUUGUAUGAUGCCAUAACCCUGACCUAUAAUUGCUGGAAUGGAGCGAGGCAGCGAGCUAGCACUUGGAUCCCGCUUCUUUUACCUCAGGCACCAACGUCGAGCCUUGAGCCUUGAAACCUAAUUAAUCUCAACCUAAAGGCAAGCACAAAUCUCAACUUGGAACCCCUAGAAAGUCUACGCUUACCUAUUUAGACGCACUGUUAUAUGUAUACAAUUCACUCCUGUUAAUGCGAGUUUUAUAUGAGAUCGAUAUAUAUAAUUUUUGUAAAUAAUCAUCACUCAAUUAUUAUCUCAGAAUUUUUAACAGACUGAAGUGCAAUAGGAUAAACAUCCUCAUACAAAAUUACAGAUCGAUGUACGUAACUAGGAGAAUUUCAUAUAUCACGUCCCAAUAAGGCUUCUACUUCUUUCGAUGCCGCUGCUCUUUGCGCUCCCCAUAUGAUCAGUAUCUCUUUUAUCCAAUGGUAGAGGUGGCUGGCUUGGGUGGUGCUGCCACAAGGCGGGGCAGCUACUUUGGCUCUGAGCUAGUUCAAACCAAGUUUUCUCCACGUUUUUAACAUCAAAAUGAUCAUACCGCCACCACCAGCUUAUAAUUUGAACAACUACCACCACCAGAUCGAUCGAUCGCGAUGACACCAUACUGAUAUAUAUCCAUUCCCAACUUUGUUUGUGGCUGCAGACCCUACAUGCCCAAUUGCCCACCAAUGCAUUAUCUCAUUCUAGCUAUAUAUGUGAUCAAAUAUUAACUUUGUCACAAGCCUACUUUCCGACACUGAGUAGCAUACAAUCCCUCUGUUCAUUCUCUUUUAUGCAUGUUUUCUUCAUUUCAUUCAUUACUUCCAUCACUUAUUCCAUAUUUUGUUGUUUAUCCUUCACUUUCUCCACUUUAUGAUCAUCCCACCCAUGCCACUACUACUUUGACAAGUAUGAUAUGUGGUACACCUAUGCAAGAUCUCGUAUUCAUACAAGUAUUAUUUUUGAACCGUUUUUCAAGUCACAAAGAGGUUCUAAUAAUGUCCCUAUCCAAAAACAAAAAUACAAAAUAAGAGAGCGAGCGAGAGGGGUUCUAAAGGCCAAGUUCUAUGUAAGAAAUAAUUAGAAGGUAGUCCACGUUGGGAAUCAAUUCCUUGUAGAAAAUGUUCUAUUCCGCUACCAUUAUAAACUUGUAAUAGCUAGCGCGCUGUGGUGGUCCAUCUACAUGAAUUCUUUGAACGAUAUAUAAUGGGAUCUGAAACGAUAUUAGCUAAAUUACUAUCUAAAAUUUUUGUUGUUGGCAGGGCCGACCGGCGAUUUUCAGACCUGAGUCAAACUAUUAAAAUUGGGCCCUUAAAGUAUAGCAUUCAUUAAAUUUUAUUUUCUUUUUUUAAGAAACACAUAAAAAAUUUAACGAACUAAAUCUAUAAACUCAAAAUCUAACAAAAUAAAAACAUUAGAAAUCCUAUUUAUAUUAAAAAUCUUAUUUAUACAACAAAUCUCUUACUUACACUGCUCAUUUUUUUUCUAAAAUAGUAACUAAUGAUAGUAAUAUAAUGGGUAAGAUUGUAUAUUCAUUUUUCUCUUUUGUAAUCUAACGCCACUCUAAUUAGAUGCUGUUAAUUAUUUAUUAUUUAUUUUUAACUAAACUAAUGUGAUCACAUAAAGAGAAAAGAAAAUUUUGGGCCCCAUAAGGUUUUGGGCCCCGAGUCUAUCGACUCUUAGGACUCUAUUCAAGUACGGAUUUACUUGUUGGCUUGUACGUAGCUAUUUUUUUUUUUUAUGUUCUUUUUUUAGCGACAAUCCGCAAAAUCUGAUAACGAUGUACUAUAAAUCUAUGUUUUAUUUCUUUUCUUUUGUAUUCUACGUCACAUAGCUUACAUGCAUAAUCUCAUAUAACUGAUUAAUAAACUGAGAAACUAUUUGUACAUCAAAUUAGCGAAGGCGUAUGCAUAUAGUACAAACAAGGUAACUAAUUAACUCUUUACUAUGAACACGUCGUGGGGAAAUUAAUCCAUCUAAUUAAACGAACAUGCGCAAAAUUUUACACCUGCAUGAUAUGCUGGUUCACUUGAUUGGCAUGGGAAGCACUACGGUUAGUUUCUAUGUCCACCGUGAUCGACUUCUGUCAAGGAUUAUUAAGCAAUCAAGCUAGUGCCUUAUUUAAGUUUCCACUUCCUUUAAGAAUCGGCAUGCGCCAUUUUACUUGACUUAAGCUUCUGAUUAGGCGCAAAAUAAUGCAUUAUAUAUGUUGGCGUUUGACAGCAUCGACAGAGAUCGAUUACGAUAUUCUCUAUAUAUACGACAUGCAUGUUGAUUAUUUGCAAAAGCGUAGCCUUUAAAAUUGGUAAAUUAAACUGACUUUAAAACAUCUUUAACAAACUCUCUACUUUAACUCCUCAGCUAUUUUAGAGAACGUGUUUAGCUUUUUUGGAUGUUUUAGGAGCUCCAACAGACUAGCCAAACUUGAGCUAUUUUAUGACAUUUAGCUAUCUUGCUAGCUAAAUAAUAACUCAAAUGAGGCUAGUUAUAAUUUAAUACAUUCAUUUUAAGAUAUUUUAUGUGAUAUAUAAAUAUAUUUAAACUAUUUGAUAUUUAUUUAAAGAACAAUAUUAAUAUAAUACUAGCUAAAAUAGAGAGCAUUAAUACAUACACAUUUUUAAAAUGGUUAGUCAGAAUAACAUUUUAGCUUGUUUGAUAAAAAUUUAACUAAAAAAUGAUUAGCAUUUGAUAAGCCAAGGCUUCUCCAUUAAGUGCGCGCUUCCCAAGCAAUGCCCAAUCAUGUAUGUUCUGAUGUAAGAAACUAUAGCGAGACUGAAAAUGAGGGUUAUUUCAAUCGUUCGCUCGUCCUAGCUAGAUGUGCAUCAGAUACAACAAGUCGUAUAUGAUAGGAUUACUAUCUAGAGUGAAGGAUUUCGAAGAAUGCUGGUUCUUAUUUUUCAACAAAGAUAUAUCAAAUUAAGUAAUGCAUACAGUACGUGAUACGUACAGAUCAUGUGAACCUAUAUCUUAUAUAUGUAAUGAGCUUAAUUAAUUGAUUGGUUUGCACAUCGAUCAUGGCAACUUAGCACCUCUUCUAUGAACUUAAUUUUCUUUCUCCGACCGUCCGACGCAAUUUCUGAUUUGCCUCCGAAUCUACUCCUUAAGUUAAUCUACCCCUCCAAAUAUAGUCCUGGCUGUUGUGUUUUUACAUGGAAUACGGGCAAAACAGAUGAUCUAGAGAACUAAUUAGUUGCUGAAAUCAAACGUCAAAGAGAAACUAAAUUAAGCUAGGUUCAUGCAUCCAGUGCGUAAUGCUUAAUUGCUUAUUCAUGAUUAAGUAUAAGAGCAUUUCUAACAGUUUCUCUAAAAUUUCUCUAAAAUAAGAAAACAAAAGCUAAAAUCUUCUAAAAAUUUAUGCUCCAACUCCAACAGCUUCUCUAUUUUAGAGAUUUCGGCAUUUAUUACAACAAUAAAAAAAUGCUACAUGAUUAUUAAUAAUAAUAAAAAAAUCAUAUAUUUCAUUGUAACAUAAAUUACCCAAUAAAAUAUUCUAGAUUUUUAUUCUUAUCGUUAGAACACGCGAAUAUAUAAUUAAUAUUUGGGGAAUGAAGACUUUGCUGUAAAUUUGGGGAAUUGAUGUUUCUUUUUCUUCUCCAUCCCCAUUUUGGGGAAUAAGAUGGAGAAGCUGUUGAACCACAAAAUAACCUAAUAUUCCCAAAAAUUGAUAAAAUCAAGAAAAUGAGAAAGCUGUGGGAGAUGCUCUAAGACAGUAAGCUGAUUGAAUUUCUAAAUUAUAAGAUGAAAGAAUUCACAUUCAGACUGCUCCCAAAAAAACUUUCCAGACUUUUGAAUUGAUCAUUUUCAUACAAGUUUCAUCAAUAAAUGCACAACAGCAAAAAUCCCAUAUUUCGGAAUAGUUGCAGUACGCAUCAUUUGUACAACAAUCCUACUCUCAUUUUCACUUUCCGGGAACAAAGUUGGUGGCGAAUGACCAGGCAUUGUUGUUAACAGGGUCGGCUAAGUGGUCGGUCAAAUUCUCUAUCGGUCCCUUUCCGGUAACAAUGGCUUGUACGAAGAAGCCAAACAUGGAAAACAUGGCCAAUCUCCCAUUCUUGAGCUCCUUCACCUUAAGCUCAGCAAAAGCCUCUGGAUCUUCUGCAAGGCCUAAUGGAUCAAAACUGCCGCCAGGGUAUAAUGGGUCUAUAACCUCACCGAGAGGUCCACCGGCAAUUCUGUACCCUUCAACAGCACCCAUCAAGAUAACCUGUGUUGCCCAAAUUGCCAAAAUGCUUUGAGCAUGAACUAAACUCGGGUUUCCCAAGUAAUCUAGUCCACCCUCACUGAAUAUUUGCGCUCCGGCCUUGAACCAAACAGCUUCGCCGAACUUGACUCCAUUACGAGCCAACAGUUCCGGGAAAACACAGCCUAGGGCACCGAGCAUGGCCCAUCUUGAGUGGAUGACUUCAAGCUCACGGUUCUUGGCAAAAGUCUCGGGAUCAGCUGAGAGCCCGGCGGUGUCCCAACCAUAGUCACCGGGGAACUCUCCGGUGAGGUAAGACGGCGCCUCCCCAGAGAAUGGACCCAAGUACUUGACACGGUCAGGCCCGUACCACAGGCUGCCGGAUGAGACAGUCUUGGACUUGGAUGCCGUUUUGCGCAUUGUGACUCGGCCUUCACCAUUGAUGUUAGAUGAAGAGGGGUUGAGCUUCACAGCUUGGCCAGCUAGAGAAGAGGAGGAGAGGGUCAUUGUUGAAGAAGCCAUCUGAAAAGAACUGAAAGCUAGUGCCUUAAUUAGUUUCCUGGACACUUUGGGAAGGCUGAGUAUAUUGUUUAUGUUUUAGUAGAAGCGCUGGUGUCUAUAAAUAAGUAUUAGGUUUGGUCUGUAAGGGGAAGUCCUUAUCUUUCUGAUAUCUUCAUCUCGUUUCUCAUUGGGGAGAUGAAGUUUGAAGAUUUUCAUGUUGAAUCUAGCUGUUGCUUGGAUAUAUUCCUAAUCCUAUAUAGUUUCCAGUUGUCUUGGUAUGCUCCACUUGUUUGGUUGGAAAAAUAGAAAGAAAAAUUAAAUUAGCUUUGGAUUCAUAUGCUUUUAGAUCUGCAGCCAAUCUUAUACGUACUAUCUGCAAGAAUGUGAGUCUGGAUUGGUAUGCUUAAUAUGUUGAUAACUUCAGAUUCUAUAGGAUAAUACUACGUGUAUUGCAAGAAUGAAUAAAGACAUAACAAAUGAACUUCACCUGAAAAUUCACCGUUGCUUUAACUCAAUGCUGAACUGGUAUAUCUGCAUUUCUCUAGUAAAUCACUAAUCAGAUUAACUGUCACCUAUAUUUCCGGUUUCUACCAUGAACUCAUACCAGAACAAAAUCUUCAUGCACAAUCCAGGAUUUCGGAAUAUAUAUCAUGAAGUUCCCAUUUGUCAACAAUAGCUUGUAGCCUAGGUUUUGAUGUGAUCCCUUUUUUUCCCCCAAAGUUACAUGAAGUAAAUGGCAUAUGAUCAAGCACAAAAAAUUUCCGUUCUUCAAAAUCGAAGUUAACAAAAAUUUCUCAAUAGCACUAAACUCAUAUUUGCCAAUGUACUCAACAAGUCCAUAAUAUUUGCGCAGAAACGACUUGGGUACGUGCAUACCUUAUUUGCAAUAUGGGUAAGUAUAUUGUGGCCCAAUACUGGUUAGAUCUUGCAUGGGAGCCCAAAUGUGCCCAGAAUUGAGAAUCAGUUAAUUACUCGAUAGCUUCUCAGACGAACUACUAGCUGCAAUUUUUCAAGCUAAUGAUAUUAACAACAAAAUCAAGAACCAUGGUCGUCGAUAGGAAAUGCAAAAAUAUAUACGUAUCAAGUAUCAACAAUUAACAGCAGAGCCCCAGUUCUGCAUAAACGAGUGCAUAUGCAUCACUUCGAAGAUAUCAUUUCGACCACAUUUCCUUCGGAUUGUACAUUCCUUUUGAUCGGCGGCAGCAAAGGAGUAGCUCUCUUGCACAGAUUCUAUCCUAAUUGGACUAGGAAUUUCUUUGCUCAUAUGUUUUAUAUUAGAACAGCGACUUUUGAUCAUAACUAGCUAGCAAUAGGAAGCAAUGAUGCGACCUGAUUGAAACUAACUGUAAAUGAGCCAUCAAAAUGAUCGAAAGACGACCGUCUAAUGAUUUUUAACUGAAAAAUAUCGCAUUGGCUAAAGUGGAAGCCGAGAGUUAUAAGAUCUAAAACGAGAGCUCAAAUGAUAAGAUGCGAGGUUAUGUUAUAGAUCUAAAAUUAAGAGUAGAAUUAAUAUAUUAUCCACAAGUUGGACAUCCCAAAUUUCUAUUUCAAAAAUGAGACGCGACUUCUAAAGGAAAAGAAAAGACUAUUUCUCAAUGAAUAGAAGACCGCACUUUUGCAGAACUAAAGCUUCAAGUAAUAUCACUGCAGAAAGAAUUAGAAUCAACUUCCACCUAAAAAACAAAGCUGCUUGCCUGGUCAAGCUAGAGGAGACUGUGGAUUUUUAAGGGAAUUGAUUUGUUUUUGUCUUCAUUGUAUUUUGGUUUUCUUUAUACAGGAAAGAAACAGAGAACUAGGAAAUCAAAUCCCCCCAAAUAUCUCGAUGACAUACCACGUGAAGCUCUUUUUUGUUCUUUUGUUCCAGGGGAGGUGAGUUUGUAUAUGACACUCUAGCUUUUGUCCAAGAUACAACGGUUGUAUUUUGUUGGUUUACUAAUAAUGUUUAUUCGCAAUGAAUAUGGUUUAAUGAUUAAACAACCAAAAACAAUCGCUAUUAGGUUCGACUGUAAUAUCCAUCUUCAGCUCAUUUAUUCAAACCAUAUAUUGUCCGACUUAUUGGUUCUUGCCCAGUUGGAUAGAUCUUCAUAUGUUAUUUAAUCUAGGUUUGAACCUUACAGCUGUUAAAGUAACUAGACACUGUGUUGUAAUGCAUAGUAUGUUGAAUUAUUUCACAUGCGUUGAUGUACUGUAUUAACUUCUAUGCCUAUUUGAGGUACCCUACCACUAAAAAAUAAAAAGAGAAAAUCUUAAUAAUUAACCAUGUACCUAAAAUAUAAUUUUUAUUGUGGUUAUUUUAAUUCUCCGAGAAAUAGAAAAGACACCAUCAAAACCUUGGUUAAUUUCUUGCCUAGUUGGGAGAGGAAGAAAUGGGUAGGUGAUCCAAGUAAAAGAGCUCAGCUAACUAUUAUUGGAACAAAACAUAUAGACAAGAUCCAAGUGUAGUGGGGACUUGGGCAGAGAAAUCAUAUAUGAAAAUGCAAAGAGAGCCUUAGCAUAUUCUUGUACCACAAAGCCAGUCUGGAUGAUUGAGAUUGCUUGUUACAAACAAAAAGAAAAAUGGAAAAUAAUCUCUAACUUUAAUUUCAUUCUCUUCCCAAAAUGGUUGAGUAGCUCUUUAAAUAGAUAUAUAUUAUCUGUAGAAUAAAUGAUUAGGUUACUGUAAAAGGUAGAUUAUCUUAUGUCACGUAAUUAGGUAUUUAGAUACGCCAACCAAAUCCACAUGCGAGGGUCCCAACAGUAGGAUUAAAUUUAAUUAAUUUGGGUGAGUUGAUUAGGUUGCCGUUAAAGGAAAGCUACUUUUUCUUAUUAAGAUGAAGUGAAUAUGAAGCUAGUUUACUUGAUCUAAAUAUUUAUGCUAAUUAAUUUCUUGUGCCAAUCCAAGUGAAUCAAGUGAUGAAGUAAGAGAUAGGUGUCGAGCUCACCGAGUACUUGUUCAGUUAUUCGCUGAUCAUCUUCUUCACGGUGCGUUAAGGUCAUUUUAAGGUCUCUGACUACAAGCUAGUUAGUUCAAGUUAGUUAGUUUAAGUAAAAAGAGUAUGGGGAACAACCACCCGAGAAGAGUCCUUCGUACGUACGUUGUAUUCAGUUUGAUAAUUUAUGAACUGGUUGCCUGUAAAGCAAUAGUAAUGUAUUGUUUGUAUAUUUUCUUUUCAUAUUAAAAAAAAAAAAGUACAACGAAUGUAGACACCCCGAGAUAACAACAUCACGUUCUCGACACAAGUGAUAAGAAGUCCAUCGGCCAACUCUAAAUUUGCCUUCCAUGUAUAACAAUGGCAUUAGUCUUCAUAAGUGAUAUUUAGUAAAGAAAACCCUGCUAUACUCAACUAGAAAGGUGUUUACUAAACUUAAAUGGGAUCGAGAAAAAAUCAAAGGGAUAAGAAAUGAGACAAAAAAUGAAAUAAAAAGAGAUGAUUUCUUCUCUCGUUGGCAUUAAUUUCAUAUAAGUUUGAUUCCCAUUCAAUGGUUAGUAAACACAAGAUUAGAGGAUAAUGCAUGCAUGGUUUGAUUUCCCCAGAUUUCAUUCCAUUACUCGUUAGUUAACUCCCAAGGUUCCUUGUUGAUACAACAAAAACAAAGGGAUCUUCUAAUGAGGACCUUAUAAUGAGGACUAAGUGAGGACUUUCAAAUAAACAGUUGGAUUACAUGCACAUGGGAAUUUAAAAAUAUCAAUUAAAAGUUAAAACAUUGAUCAAAGCGUACAUUUGAAAGUCCUCACUUAAUCCUCAUAAUAAGGUCAUCAUUAGAAGCUCUCCUUACAACAAUAUUUGGGGAAAUGGAUCUUUGGAUCCUUGGCGGAUAAAUCAUUUGGCGAAUAAUUAAGAGAGAGAGAGAGGCACAAGGUUUAAAUGGUUCACCUCUCUAGAGUGAGAGACUACAUCCACUAGAAGAAGAAUGAGUUAAUGAAUAAUGAAGAGGUGAUGAGAGGAGGUGACCCGUAUUUAUAUAAGUGGGGUGCUACCUCUCUCCUCACAUACAAGUGUCAUGUGGCAUAGCAUAUGUAAGUGGGGGAACCUUUUAGAAGGUUUCAUGCCCUAUUACACGGAAAUAGGAACAAGUACAUAUAAAGAGUGUCUUCCGCUUCUAUCUUUGAGAUGGACCUCCGGCUCGAGACGUGCAAAGGGCUCGGGUCCACGAAUAAGUGUGAUGCAAGCGGUUGUGGACAUAGUGAAAUACUAUUCCCUCAACAUUCCUAAUCUUCUAUUCAUUUCUUGCCCAAACACUCAUCUUAAGAUCUCAUCAACAAGUAGUUAAUAUGUCUUUGAUGAAGAUAAUGUUAAUCACAUUUAGAAAUCACAAAAGCAACUAAAGAAAACCCUAACCUAUCGUAUAUGCUUGUGUUAUGUUCUUUUUCACUUAUGAAGUGCGUUUUUAUUUUUUAUUUUUUAGAAUGAUUAUUGAAAUGCUUAUGUUCUAUUCUUUUUCACUAAUGAAGUGCGUUUUUUGUUUUGUUUUUUGAGAAUGACUAUUAAAAUACGUUUGUGUUAGUUUUCUCUUACUAACUUUUAGAUAAACGCAAACAUAACUAAACGUGGAAUUGCACAUCAUAAAACACUAUCCUCUACUUUUAAUUUUUCAAUAAAGUAUUACUUGUUCAUCAAUAAGAAAGUAAGAUCGUUUUCCCACCUCCAUCAGUGAAAAGGAACGAGUAGGGAUCCCUAAUGCGAGGAAUGAUCGAAAGUGAAUAUGAAUAUAUUAUAGUUAGUUCUAGUUCGAGUAGGUAAAUAAUUAGUGAUCGUGUUAUGGGGGUUCGGUUUGGUAAAUAGCAUAUUUUGGCUUUUGCGUUAGCUCCAGGUUUUUCUCUCCUUACUGGAUAAUCAUUUAUAUUAGGACAUAUAUUUUUACAGUUGUCUCUUGCCCACGUGCGGGCCUACCCACGUCACACCCGAUUAAUCGCCCAUGCAAGGGGACUCGGAUCCUCUCCUCUGCUAAUAUUGCCUCAAUGAAUCUGGACCAUUCAAUUUAAAUGGAUGGUGAGGAUUUCUCUUUCAUUCAUUUAGAGAUAUUCCCUCAUCUAUCUCGGUUAUUAAGAAAAUUCUCGUCGUCUCUUUGGCAAAGUCUCGUCAUUCUUAUCCUUUCCAUUUCUCAAAUUUCAGACGAUCUCUUUCUCUUCUGAAUGGGAGAGCCCAGAAGAUGAUGACGGCGGUGACCAUGAGGCCAGGGUAGUAUCGAUGAAGCAAGAAGAUUGUGCUGGUGGGUCUUCGUCUUUGUCUUCAACGAUUGGAAAGCGCUAUGAUCUUUGCUUGUUUACUGGGUUUAUGCUUUGUGAGAUGGACUGGUCCAAACGCCAUGAUCUUUGCUUAAUUGUUUACUGGGUUUAUGCUUUGUGAGAAGGACUGGUUCUAGUAGUGUUGGGUAUGGGUUUUUGAAUUUGAAGUCAUGAUAAGUUGAUAACGAAACCUAGUUUGGCUUUGGCUUUGACCAUUUUGAAGUGCUAUUGUUCUUCUCCAUAUUCAAGUGCAUAGUAGUAUAUACUAGUACAUGAUUAUAUGCAGUAGGAAUUAUGCGACCAAAUUUUUUUUUUUUUUUUUUUUUUUGUUAGAUGAGUUUGCCAUGAGAGAGAGAGAGAUGAGAAAUACUAUACAGAGGUCUCGACGAGAAUUUGCUUAAGAGAAGGGAUAGACGAAAUGAAUGAAAGACAAAUCCUGGCCAUCCAUUACGAUUGUAUGGUCCAGAUUCAUUUAUGAGGCAAUAUUAGCAGACAACUAUGAGGAGAGGAUCCGAGUCCCAUGCGGGGCCUGCAGUUAUUCCCUGCCUCCAAGUCCUUCAACAUUUUUAGCAUGCUAUCAUUGCUAUGUGAAGGGUUUUAGUUCUAAUAUGAAAUUUGAGCGUUUCUAAAUUCUAAUUAUUCCAACUUCGAUUUGUUAGCUAGAGUAGUGUCACAUUUUUGAAAUUAUACCAUUUUGAUACUGGUUCUAUUAUUUCAAACUCUAUUACUGAAUGGAAUAGUGUUAACUCUAGUAGCUCAUUGAGUAUUAAAAGUUGUUAUUUCUGUAAAAUGGUUGAAGCCUCCCACCCAGUGUGAAUAAAACUGAAUGUGGAUGGUGCUAGGACUAAAACUGGUUGUAUUGGUGCUGAGGGUGUGUUAGGAGACAGUAAUGACAAUUGAAUUUCUAGUUUUGCUGCUAGUUUGGGGAAUGGCUGUUAUGGAAAAUGAAGCUAGCUUAGGGUUUACUUUUGGGUUUUACAACGGCUUAUAUUGCCCAAGGACGGAUCCGACUCCUUUAAAGUGAGAAGGGUGUAAAUUUAGUUAAAACUCAAAAAAUCUUAACUCUCUAUCUAAUCUAACGGUCAUAGAAAUUAACACCUCACUCUCCCACUUCUUAUUUUAUUUUUCAUCUAUACCACAGUUAACUUGUUCGUGAACACUUGAAAAAAGAAAAAGAAAAAAAGAUUAGGGAUUUGGCGAGGAGUUGAUGCGUAUGCUUUCUCUAUGCUUCCAUGGCAUCCCAUUCAUGGUCGAAGAGAAAAGGGGAAAAAACAGUUGCUUGCAUAGAAUAGCAGCUAACAUAUAUGCAUGCAAUGUGAACUGAAUAGAAACAUAAACUUAGAACUAACUUGUUCAAUUGUGUUAAUUGAAAAUUCAUUAAGAUUCAAGAAGCAAUAGAAGAUUGGGAAAAUCUCAUAUUGACCGAGAUCGAAUGAGUUCAUAGUUCCUUGACUAUUCCUAUCUUUUGAUAGAAAUUCCCCAAUGCUUUCCCAAGUUUCAAUCUUUAAUGAGAGCUAAUAAUCGUCCUUUGUUGUUGCACAAGUUGUUUUAUUCUUCAGAGUUUCAUGACUAUGACUAUAACAAUUGGAAGACACCAAAGGGCAAUAAAGACAACUAAAAUUUUAACAACUGAAUGAUAAAUCAAUGACUGCACAAUUUUUCAUUUAUUUUCUUCAAAGGAUGUCUUUGCCAUGAAAGUAUAGAGAAAGAAAACACAGCAAUUUCACGCCAAAUCCCUAAUUUUUUUUUCUAGAGUUAACGACAGGUUAACUGUGGUUUAGACAAAAAAAUUAAAAAUAAGUGAAAGAGUGAGGUGUCAAUUGUCAUAACCGUUAGAUUAGAUAGAAAGUUACGAUUUUAUGAAAUUCAACUAAAUUUACACCCUCCUCACUUUAGAGGAGCCGGAUCUAUUACCUAGUGCACUUCUUUUCUUAUUGAAUCUGAUUCUUAUGUUAUUGUCCAAAUGUUGAAGAAAGGGGUUGAUGAUUUACAUCCUUUAUAUAAUAUGCCUAGUAGAUGCAAAUUUUGAUGGACAUGCUAUUUGAGGUCACAUGUAAGUUAAGCUUAUGUUUCGAGUUUGGAGUGCAAUAGUUUUAGCAACUUUCUCGACAAGUUGUUAAUACUACUCUUGAUGACUUGUGUCAGUUGUGUGAUACUUUUAAAUUAAAGAAUGUAGCUACUGUUAUUUAAUUAUUGAUAUGUUUCUUUGUUUAGGUCUUUUGCCCCUUGUAUCAAAAAAAAAGAAGAAGAGAAAAUUGAAAUUAUAAUUCUUUGUUAUUCAUGAGUCAUGACAAGAGGUCAAGAGCAAACAAGAUUAAAAACAAAAGACAAAUUUGUUUUUAGUUUUUCAAAUAAUAUGAAGUCCUUCUAAAAUUAUGAGGUCGUCACCACUCACUCACAUGCACACACAAACUAAUAACAACGAGGAUGCGUGUAUUAAACCAAGACCCAGUUCAUGUGUCACUGUCGGUUACUUGAGAGUCAACAUGUACGAGUCAACGAACGGUCACCUUAUGAUCCGGGGAGUCGCCGGGAACGAGACGAUUCAUCGCCGAGUUUUUGAGACAUUGGCGCCGUAUUCAUGGGUCCCCGACCCAACUGUUCUUCUCUUUUGCCAGCUCUUCGCAACUUGUGCCCAUCCUUUUCCCUAAACCAGCCUUCAUUACCCGUGAAAUUUCACUUCCCGUUUUACCCUUCCUGCUUUUCCUGCAAAAUUUGUCUAUAACCUUUCUUAUUUUUAAUAUUAAUCUUUAAUAAUCGAUGAUAAACAUUUAUGAUGAAAGACAAGGAUUUGAUUUAGUUGAAGCAGAAUACGGUUUAGCUCUUUCGGUCCAUUUGCUGCAAAAUGACAUUGUGGAUUAUCAGUCAAUUGAUAUCUUUAAUUUUAGAUAUCAGCAUUCUUAACUGAAGUUUCAAAGAUUUCUACUCUUUUUAUUGAAAUGGUGAAGAAAAGAGUUUCUACUCCUUUUAUGUCCACUUAAGUCGAAAGACACAAAAAAAUAUAACCUUAUGAUUUGCUCUACUUUGUUUUAGCAUAAUUUUUUUUUGCACUUCAUCUUGUCCUUAAAAAAUUCGUAUUCAAAUAUACAACUAAAUCGUCAAAAUUCGUAUGAUGAACCACAUACCUCUUUCUAUCAUCAAAGCCCGAAUUGUUCUUGGAGUAAUGGACCAUAUUUGAUAUUUCCUAGCUAGUUCUUUUCUAUUUUAAAAAGUUAAAAUUAGCUACAUUGUCUUUCAUUUUCAAUCUAUAUCAGCUAGCUAGCAAUAAAAAUCCACCUUAGCUAUUUUUGUCCACAAAAUUCAUAUCAAACAUGCAACACCAAUUUCUUAUAUACAGAUGCAGCACAUUAUCCUCCUCAUUCAUAGUGAAAUUCCCAAAAUUUCCAAUUUUUCACGGACUAAAUCUCUAAUUAAGAAAAGCUUAAGAUUUCAUGAAAAAGGGACAACUCGGAUUAGAAAAAGGGAGGGCAGUUCAGUGAAAUUAAAAAAAAUGGUCCCCUAAUCUCCAGGUGGGUGGCUCUCUGCAUUGCCCAGUAUCUCUUUUGCAGUCACUUUCAUCCUUUUUUUCACUGUUGUAAUGUAAUGGUAUUGCUCUCUGCAAGCAAAUUUCACCAAAAGUGAGUCAGUGAGACUCACCAAAACACAAAUGCUCUGUUUCUGUUUACAGUCCCCUCAUUCCUUUCCCCUCCUGCUGUCCACCUUCAGACCCCCUUAGUCUCUUCUUCCUUCCUCCCCCUCUUUCUUCUUUCAGCUUUCUUCUAAACUUGUCACAACUCACAACCACCAUCUUCUUCUCUAAAUUCCCAAUCAAAACUCAUGCGCAGUAAGCAAUAACAACAAGAACCCGCUAGAUUUCUCAGCUGGACUCUUUCUCUCUUUUCCAGAACAGCAUUUAAAGCAGUUUUUGUCACUUCUUGAUCUCUGUCCACCUAUCAACCAUUUCUUGUCAAAACCCAACAUUGAAUUAGACCUCAACUUGGUUUAUCAACUUCCAGCAUUCUCUGUUGAACGCAGUCAAAUCUUCAUCCCAGCUCACUGAAACUGAGCUGCCCAGAAUCACCAAACUUCACAUAUUCCUUUCGCGUUGUGAAUUCAACAAAUUUUCUUGGCAAUGAAGGUUCGAUGGUUACUCUUAGCAGUGCUACUCUACCUUCUUUUUAUUCAGUUUAGCGCGGCAGACCCAACAAGACCCAUGAACUGUACAGACACAACUCGCCUCUGCACAUCGUUCUUGGCCUUCAAGCCCGAACCCAAUCAGACCCUGCCGGUAAUUCAGUCCAUGUUCGACGUGUUGCCGGAAGACGUCACCGUAGAAGGCGACAACGGCCGUGGCUACGUUUUCAUAAAAAAGAAUUGUUCUUGCGCUUCUGGGGUCAACGAGUAUUUGACCAACACCACGUUUACAGUGAGAUCAAGUGAAGGGUAUGUGUCUGACGUGGUUAAUGAGGCCUAUGGUGGCCUGACUUUCCUGCCCAAUUCGACGAGGAGGGCCAGAAACGGCGCCGUUGUGUGGUUGAGGCUGCUGUGCGGGUGCUCGAGUGGGCUCUGGAACUAUUUGAUGAGCUAUGUGAUGAGGGAGGGGGAUAGCAUUGAGUCUUUGGCGAGUCGGUUCGGGGUCAGUAUGGAUAGCAUUGAGAAAGUUAAUGGGAUUGUUGAUCCUGAUAAUGCCACUGUUGGUGCUCUGUAUUACAUACCCUUGAAUUCAGGUUAGUUUUCGACUUAUUUUGUGUUUUUGAUUCAUAAGGUUUUGGUUGAUGGGUAUGAACUUGUGUGAAUGAGGUUUGCUUUAGUUGACUUUUGGGUAAGAAUGUGAAUUGUGUUGACAAUCGGACAGAAGUGAAUUGAGUGAAGUGUUGAUACUUUCCUAGCAUAAUGUGGAGACAUAAUGUAUUUUGAUCAGUUACAUUGGAUUUGCAUCAGAAGCAUUGGAAGAAAACUUUUUACAAAUUUGCUGUUAAAUCAUUUUUGGGAUAAUUGUGUGGGUGCUAUAUCAAAACUACAAAAAUCAAAAAUGGUUAUUAUUGAUUUUUAAGCCUGUCUAUCUGUUACAAAGAUGUUAGAAGUUAGAUGGUCAUUGGAUGUGCAUGUUCAGCUUGACAUAGUGCUUAUUGGAAAAGUGUUGUACUAAAGAAUUUCAUUUCUAUGCUUCUAGUUCCUGGUGAGCCUUAUCCUUUGGAGACUAUUUCUCCUGCUCCCUCUCCUGCUCUACCGGUUGACAAUUUGUCAGGUAUGCAUGUUGUUUAUGUGAAGUUGUACUUGUUUUGUUAGAAAUAGGGAACUGCAAGUUUUCCUGCCAAUUUUCCAAUCAAGAACACUAUAGUGCCACACUACAGCAUCAUUCAAAUUUUAAUAAAUUGUUUGCUUUUUCUUAACAGCAGAUCGCGUGAAUCAUAAGGCGCAUUUUCCCUAUUUAUGGAUCGUAGGAAGUAUGGGGUUAGUUCUUGUUGCGAUAGUAAUAGGUAUAGUUUUAUAUGUGUGCCUGAGGUCGUCAAACUGCUGCGGUGAAGCGCAAAGAGGUCACUCAAAAGAUCCUAAUGGUCAGAUUAGGUUCCAUAUUCUUCGGAAACCCAGUUUCUGUUGUGGUUCAGGAAGGUUCACUUGUUGCACGUCUUCUGAUUGGAAGCAAACCAAUGGGGAUUCUAGCAACCAGCAGAUAACUAUUCCAAAAGGUCAUCUGUCUGAACUAUUUUUUCAAUUUUUAUCCAACUAAAGUUGACGUUCUUACUCGCUUUUUUAUGUUGAAUGAGUAUUUGAUCUAGGAAUUAAAACCUAGUAGGCAGGGAACAAUUACAACAUAUAAAUGGGAGCUUCUAUAACAGAUUUUGUUGAAUGGAUAUCCUUGUUGUCUACACCUCUAUAUUCCAAUAUUCAGAACUUCUAAUACUUUUACGAUACUUUUGUUUAUCAGUUUAUAAUAUGUAAUCUGCUUCCUCAUUAGAAGUACCAAAAUGUGAUCUUCGCUUGAAUCUUGGAAUGUCUGAUGGCCCUCUCUACGUGUUGCAGCUCUUGGCAGUCAUGUACUUGACAUGGAAAAACCUGUGGUUUUUACAUAUGAAGAAAUCUUUUCCUCAACAGAUGGAUUCUCUGAUUCACGUCUUCUGGGACAUGGAACUUAUGGUUCUGUGUUUUAUGGGUUACUUCAUGAGCAGGUUUGGAGUUCUCUACUUUUAUUUGCAUCAUUGAUAUUUUUUUUUUUUUUUUCCCAUUAAGAGUCGUUCUCAUACCUAUGUGGCUAUUCUGAUAUGGAUUGAGUUCUCUCCAGGAAGUUGCUAUUAAAAGAAUGACUGUUACAAAAACCAAAGAAUUUCUAGCAGAAGUAAAAGUUCUAUGCAGGGUUCAUCAUUCUAAUCUGGUAAUUCACAUUCUAGCUUUGGAGCUUGUAGCUUUGUGUGUUUCAGAUCUUUGACUCCUAUUUUGGUUUACUUGUGUCAAGGUAGAAUUGAUUGGUUAUGCAGCAACUGAUGAUGAGCUCUUCCUAAUAUAUGAAUAUGCCCAAAAAGGUUCACUCAAAAGCCAUUUGCAUGAUCCUCAGAACAAGGGUAAGUUACUUGCUGAUGCAUUGUUGAGAAUGUCCCAAGAUUUUUUCUUUUUGGUUUCUUACUUUCAAUCAUAUUCUGUUCCACGUUAAGAGUAUUGCAUUUUGGUCUAAACUGUUCCAGCCAGAACCCAUAUUUCCUUAAGGGUCACAGCAGAGGUUGUUGAGCCUCAUAUUACAAGGCUCACUUAGGCCUGGCAGGUAAUACAAGGCUCAACUAGGCCUGGCAGGCUGAUUUCCACCCUAGCUGCUUAACUCAUACUGAAAUAUUGCACAAAAUUCUCUCUUCAAGUUCUUACGUGGCAUAUCCAUUCUCUAAAUAUAGUAACUUUUAUCUUUAAUGUUAAUUGAGUCAUGGACUUUGGAUGUAUAGUGCUCUAUACUUGAAUCGCGGGUAUGUUUUUUAACCUCAUUGUACUUGGUUAUAGGUCAAACAUCACUUUCCUGGAUCAUGAGGGUCCAAAUUGCUCUUGAUGCUGCUAGAGGUCUUGAGUACAUCCAUGAGCACACUAAAGCUCAUUAUGUCCACAGGGAUAUCAAGACAAGCAACAUCUUGCUUGAUGGUACCUUCAGGGGAAAGGUUUUAAUAUAUUCUACUGAUUUGAUUUGUGCUGUUUACGUAGACAUCUGGUGCAUGUCACUAAUAAGCAUUAUUUUCUUUACAUUUUAGAUUUCAGAUUUUGGAUUGGCAAAACUUGUUGGUAAAACAGGUGAAGGAGAAGCUACAGUAACCAAAGUUGUUGGUACAUAUGGUUAUCUGGCUCCAGAGUAAGUAGCAAUAUUGCCAGUUGAUUACUCUGACCUUAACAUACUCAAUGAGAUUGAUUGCUUCUCUCUUGUAUCCCUGCAGAUACUUGAGUGAUGGGCGUGCUACUACAAAAGUUGAUACAUAUGCUUUUGGAGUUGUUCUCUUUGAGAUUUUAUCAGGGAAGGAGGCUGUUAUACGAACUGAAGGCACAGUUACAAAAAAUCCUGAAAGACGCUCACUGGUAUCCAUUGUAAGUCAAUUUGAUGAGACAUGAUCAAAUUUUUUAUUUUUUUUGUGGGGAUAAAAAAGCAUCAGAAUCCUGAACGAAAAUUAACAUAUUUGACCUGCUUGUUAUGCUAAAGUGGAAUUCGAGAAGAUUACAGACUAAUUCACCGACUUGAGCAAGACUAAAAUUUUAAUGUCUGGUUAUAGAUUCCAAUCAAGUUUUCGCCCCAAGGGGACAUGAUUUUCAUAAAGAAAUGUUAUUGUUCUUUUAUUUUCUUUCUUUAUCGCCCUGUCAAAAACUUUUAAAAGAUGAAUCUUAAAAAUAAGGAAGAUCAGAUAUAAUAAAAGGGCAUUGAAAUGUAUGGAUCAGUUGCUAAAUUUUUGUUGAGAAACCUUCACAUGAUCAAAACAUCUCUACUAGUGAGAAAAUAGUUGUCACCAAAUAAGAAUGAAAGUCUAUAUUAUGAGGUCAAUUGAAAUAUCAAGGCUACUGGGAAGAGAAGUAAAUGGUAUGUUAGUUUUUGUUUUUCUGAAAAUUGUAGUCGUUGCACAGCAUCGAAUACUUUUCUUGCGGACUUUUCAUGUUGUUUAAUUUACAUAAAAAUUUUUAGCUGUUCUUCUCAUCUACUUUUUGUAAUUUGUCUUCGCAUUGGUUGAGGAAUAGAAUAUAUGAUUUCUUUUGGUUGUUUGCAUCCUUUUGGCCGUUCUUUUAACUUUACAGUUCACAAGUAGAUUAUACUUUCCAAAUGUUUCUUUAUCUAGCUCACUUGUUUCUCUACUGAUGAAACAUCCUCAAUUUUUGUCUAAUUUGCAGAUGCAAGCAGCUCUUAGGAGUGCACCUGAUUCCAUGAAUAUGUCGAGCUUGAAAGAUUACAUUGAUCCAAAUCUGAUGGACCUGUAUCCCCAUGAUUGUCUAUUCAAGGUAAACUAUACUUGACUUUCACUGUCUAGAUAUGUGGAUCCGUUUACCAGCUUUUACUAAGAGGAUAUCUGUUAUACAAGAAAUUGAUGGAAAUAUUAACCAGAUAUGUUAUCGUGAGAAUUGACAUGUGAUUAACAUUCAUAUAAGAAGGGGAUGAAUGUAGUCCUUAGUUUUUGUGCCACACUAGAAAUUAUAUAAUCAAAUUAACUAGAAGAAAGAGAAAAAACUAGUUUUGGAGUCGUAUAUCACCAGCUGAUUGUUAUUCUUAUUGCUCCUUGUUCUGUAGGUUUCCAUGAUAGCUAAGCAAUGUGUAGAUGAAGAUCCCAUCUUACGGCCUGACAUGAAAGAAAUUGUUAUUUCUCUGUCACAAAUCCUCCUAUCCUCGGUUGAGUGGGAAGCUACUCUUGCAGGGAACAGCCAGGUAUUCAGUGGCCUUGUUCAGGGAAGGUAGGGAAACAGAAACUUCCUUUUCAUACCCAAGUCAUUCAUAUUCUUUUGCCCCUCUUUUAUCUGUAGUGUGCUUUGUAUUUAUAAUAGCACAUAUAGUGGGAAGAUCGUGGUAUUUAUACGUAAGUUUUGGAUUUGUUCCUCUCGUUUCCCUUACCGGAUGUUUUAUUACCUCGUGGGAAAUUUUUUGAUUUGAUGUAAAAUGUGAUGGAGAUUGGAGAGAAGGGUGACUUCCCUGUAAUACAAGUUAGCAGUCAGUUAUCAUUGUCACAACAUCCUUCAGUUACAUUGUUUCUUGUUACAUGGGUGUUCUAUACAAACCUAACACACACAAACCCCACCCCACCACCCCCCCUUAUUCACAGAUGCAUCAGUAACCUACAUGCUCUAGUUAAACUAAUGACAACUCUUAAAAUGGGAUCGCUUUCAAGAAAUGCUAAUCUGGUAUUCUUAUAUCACUAUACGGUUAUUUAUUACAUAAACUUUUACCUGGCAGAUUCAUUAGUAUUUCUCCAAGAGGAGGACAUAGUCGUGAUGAUACAUAUUAGCGUGCGAAUUGAACAUGAGGAAGAGGACAUAGCACAUAGUGAUAGUACAUACAUACACAUCCCUAAACUACUUGCAGAGUGAAGCUAGCACUCUGCGAGGCAGACUGAAUGAUUUCCGAGAGUGAAGGACAGCCAAAUUAUCCAACAGCAAAACAUCACCUUUCUGCCAAGGAAUGGCAACACUCUCCUCUUCAAGAAUCUUCAAGCAGUCGUAGAUGACAUCCGCGGGCAGCGGAUUGCCAUCGCCAAAGGUAACAGCCUUCAGAGGAUCAUUCCUAGCAUCUUUCCAGCCCGUAUAGGCAGCUACCAUGCUGUUGAACCAAAUCUUCCUCUGCCUUGUGCUGUCGUAUUUGACGGCCGGGAUUGGCCCCAUUAUUGAUUUCACCCCAUCUUCCAACCAUUCUAACUUCAUCCCAAGCUUAGCAGCCCUGCCAAAAGUUUUAAUACACAACAACAUUGUAAGCUGUUCAUAACUCACUAGCAAUUCAAAGCAACAUUUGUAUGGGACUAUAUUCACUUGUAAACCUAUACCUCUCCUCAGCUAUGCCCUUGUCUUUGGUCAAGAAUGUAGACUUCCAGCCACGGCCAAUCGGAGAAGAAGGGUCAUCUCCUUCGCCUAAAACCCGAGUAUAUAUCAACCCAUGCUCCUCCAAUUUCUCGACAAAUUCCGGAUACUUAUCUCUCAUCCUCUCAUACACAAUGUGACUCAGAACAAUAGGAGUUUCUCCUCCACUUCCAGGCUCCACUUCACAGAAAAAGAACAACUUGGAGGGAAACUCUGGCACCUGUAGACGACAUGUCGUAGUUAAAAAUCUUAACCUUAACCACUAUACCAGAAAAAAAGUGAAAAAACAAAGAACGACAUGCGCAUAUACAUGGGCCAUUUCGUGGUGAAAUGGAAUCUUCUGGUCGGGCGGUGACUCAUUAGCGGUAAAAACCCGGCCCACAACGUUGGUCCGCGGGGCGGCUCCGCCAACAUAGGGAAGCUCCUCGAACCCGAAAGCCUCAACGACGUCGUUGAAGUCGGAAGCUGAAUUUAGCGGAAAGCCCCUGAAGAGUACGGCCCCGGAUUCUCGUAGCAGGGCCUCGAGAUACGGUCUUUGGGCUUCGAUGGUUUUGGUCAAAGCAGAGAGAGUGAAGGGAACCGCCGGACUUGGAGAUAGAACCGCCGGGAAUCGAACUCCGUCGUAGAGCUUCUGCUGUGGGAUUUGAGCUUGCACAAAAGUCCCUGCCAUGGUUUCUCUCCGGGGAUGGGGCGUGUAGUUGACGCGUCGUAGUGACAGAGUAUGAAAUCGGGGUUUCGAGUGAUAGAUAAUGUGGAGGAGGGAGAUGAACUCACCUGGUUGGGAAAUGUGUCCAGGUUCUAAGUUUUUAUUAGGCCGGUUCGGGUUUACAUUAAGUUUCGGGUACAGGCCCAAUAGUACGAUUGGGGCAACUCGGCCGAGUCCACUCAGUAUAGAAAAACGAGCGGGCCUUUGGUGAAAUUCAAAAGCAGAGAGAGAGUGAGAGCCGGAAAGAGAGAGAAAGAAAGGGAGAGAUGAGGAACGAAGAGAAACCGAGGCCGGUGAGGAAGGCGUUGAGGGACGUUUCGAACAGCCACGGCGGCGGCGGAAGGUCCUCGAUAUUGGCGACCACGGCGAAGAAGAAAGACAAGAAAACGGAGAGGCCGAGGGUCGAACACAAAGAAGAGGGUCCAAACGACGUCGCUUUGGACCGCCUCUUGCUCGUUCAGUCCGAUCUAUCCGCCCUAAUUAAUCAGGUACCGUUAUCGAUCUCUCUCUUUCUCGCCGGAAUCCAUGUGACUUCAAUUUCAGAUUAUAAUGGAAAUUUUGAUUAUCUAGGGUUUUUUUGUUGGAACUGAAUUUUGAAUUGAAUAGAGGAUUAAUGAACUGGUUUCCGUUGGGUAAUUCGUAUUUUGUGAUUAUUUAUGGUUAAUUUGAUAUCUUUAGGGUUUUAGUUUGGAAUUAAUUUUGAAUUGAAUGGCAGAUUGAUCAACUAGUUGUGGAGGCGUUUAAAUGCAAGGCAGGAGCAAGCAAAGAAGUUGAAUCCUUCUCACAUUUCUUAUCUGAAAUGCAUUCAUCUUUGAAGGUAGUUGAAAUUUUGCCCACCCUAAUUUAUAUCCCACUUUGGAUAGUGAAAUUGGAGUUGAGUUUUAUCUGUACUUGUUGCAAUUGCAGCCGUGGGUGCCGAGGUUUCAGAAGGCUCUCUCUGGUACUGGAGAAGCUGCGAUUGUGAGUGGAAACGAAAGUGGUGAGAUUAGGAGUCCUGAAGUUGAGAGGAAGGAGGUUGAGAGCCUGGAAGAGUCGGAUUUGGAGUCGUUGAUCUCGCCUUCUCCCCUUGUUUCGUGGCGUGCUGACUGUACUAUCCAGAGAGGGAAACAGCUGUUUAUGCUUACGCCGCUUCCCAUAUCAAAGUCCCUGUCGUCCAAGCCCCCAAUGCAUUCCAAGCCUUUGGUGUUUGAGAGGGUUACGUCUAGUACUAGUGAUAGGCUACCAUUUUUUCAUACUACUAGGGGUGAUACAAAUGCUGAUUUACGUGGACGUGCCGUAGAGCCUAUAUCCUCUAAACCUUCUGAUUCAGUUGUUACUGAGUCUGGUGUUGAAUCUACACCGCUGUCAAAGAUUGGGGGCUCCAUGGUGAUGAAUUUGAUGACUCCAUGCUUAAAGUCUCCUCCUAAAUCUUGUGUGCUGCUUGAACCCAUUUCGGACUCCUCCCCUAAGGGACAUCACCUGGUUUGUAAUCGUAAGUCUACCCCAUAUCCUGCUGGAAUCAGAUAUGCUGGUGAUUCCUCUAGCAGUGAUACCUCUGACGAUGCAGAUGCCUCACCAGAUUGGUGUAUGUCACCCCCUAAAUCUUGUGUUUUACUGGAGCCAUGUGAUGUAAAGUCUUCGGAUGAAGAAGGUCAUAUUCAAGAUACACAACUGAUUGGGCCUCUUUCAAAAGAAAGUGAGGAUGUAGGAGGCACUCAACAAUACAAGAAAGGUAUUGGCUAUUCAUUUUUUUGCAUCUUUACUAUAUCAUGCUGGACAUGUCUUGAUUCAAAUCCAUAACCUUAUUUAAUCAUAGCUUUGAUCAAUUGGCGUAGAACUUAAUAGAUAUCACUGUACUAGCUGACUGGCAUUUCUCAAGCAUAUCAUAUCUAUAGAAAAAUUGGUUAUGACAAUUGGUAAAAAACUCAUCAUAGAAAAUUCACCAGAGAUAUGUACUUCAUCUAUUACUGGUACAUGUAUGACGGGUCAAAGAAACCUGAAAUAGUAAGCAACAGUCAUUUUAAGGCUAAGAAACUAACACUUUAAUUAAAACUCAUCAUAAACCCACAUCAUAUAUUAGUGAUCACUAUAGAAACUAACCCAAAACUAAAACUCAUUAAACCCACAUCAUUAUAUAAGUGAUCACUAUAGAAACUAACCAACUAUCUUACUCUUCAAAUUUAAACACAAAAUCCAUUCAAAGCACUAGUGGGAUUCUGUAUCUUGGCAUAUCAUAUAGUCGUACUGGAUUCAUGUUUAGUGGUUACCUAGGAAUGCUACUGUAACUAUGCUUGCUAGGCAAAAGCCAAUGCUUAGAUAAACUGCAAUACUUCUGAACUCAAUUGAAAACCAGAAGAAAAAGAAGAAAAAGAAGAAAAAAUAAGGAAUGUUUUUUUUCUUUUGACUUCUGCAAUACAUUCUACAUAUAAACAAAUAUGUAAUGAACCUUUAACAUAUCAAAAUGUUAUCCAUACUGAGACAACAAAUGUUAGCUAAAACAUAUUUCAGCCAAGAAAUUAAUAGAGUUUUAGUAGCACUAGAUUAAAACAUAGAACUUUAAUUUCACAGUAAAGAGGCUUGAGUUUGCAUGGAUCGGAGGGCCUUUAAACACAAUGAGGUCAAGCUCAUGACUGAUAUGGUUCUUAGCUAAAGCAUCUUAUGCAAGCCAAAGUUCUUUGCACAACAACAAUAUUGUACAAAGAUGAUAUCAUCUACCAUGAACAUAAAUAACUUUGACGAGCAAAGACUCAGACUUCCAGAAACUAAUUGUAUGAGACAUUGCUAUUAUUUUGGGUGAUCAUACUAGUUAUUGUUAUCAUACUAGUUAUUGUUUGUUUCAUUACUAUUAUUUUGGGUGAUCACAUAGAUAUCACAAGGGACUUGUCUUGAUUCAAAUCAUUUAUUUCUUUGUAUCAGAGCCUGUAGGUGGUGGCAGAUUUGCUGUAGAAAGCACACCAAUAUGGAAACAAGCUGGAAGCGUAGUAGUUCACAAAGGCAAACAUCCUGGUGAGAAUACUUUAAAGAGGGAGUUGUGGAUGAAGUUUGAAGCAGCUUCUACAAAUGAGCUUAGUAUUGAUGACUCUGUAACUCAAAAAAGACUUCUCGAUCUAUUGGAUGAGGCUUCAUGACAUUCCAAAGUAAUGUUGUACAAGGUGGUUCUGAACUUCUGAUAUAGCACAUGUAAUUUUGUAUUUCAACAGAGACCACCAGCAAAUGCCUGUGGUUAUCCAGUGUACUUGAAAUGGUUUAGAAAUUAAACUUUUUUGUAAGUCACUGUAGCUCGGUUUGUUAAAGAAUCACUUCCUUGAUUACUAUGCUCACAUCACGGUUCUUCUCUUAUCAAAAUCGUAUACUUGUUAUUCACACAGUCGAUGAGGACUUAGAAUCUCCUUCCACUUGAAUCUAUUUAUAACAUUGACCAAUAGAUUAAAGACCUUUGUGUAAGACUACAUCUUCAUCAACUCAUCAAGUAGGACAUAAUUCAUAGUUGUCUAUAUUUUUAGUACCAGCUAGUCAGCUACCAGAGCGAGCUUUUGAAGUCAGAUAUGAAACCUGAAGUUACAGAUGAUAAGUGUGCCUGUAUUCUAGUGCCAGCUAGGAGAGGCCGAGAGGGUAGCAUUGAAGUGUAGUUCUUGCUAUUUGUCAUGUUAUUAUGCUUGUUACCAAUCUGGAAAUUCACCAAGCAAGAUUUCACCUAAUAAAUUGUAAAAUCGAUGAAUCCUAGCCUCUAUAGGAAGAGAAGAUGUAUCCACAUGUGGACAAUCAAGUAAUGUUUUUGUACCAAACUCUCUUUUAAAUUUCCAGAAAAAAUUCCGAAGUGGUGGAUGUGAUUUGUCAUAGUACGGUGAUAUUGAAGACAGCAGCACUGAAGCACCCAGGAGGCCAGGAUGACCCAAGAACUGAAUGUGAAAGUGGUACCUAGAAGGCUAGAACACCAAUGCACCAUUAUGAUUUCCCUUAACAAAAUAUAUGCGUCAAAUGUGAGCAACCUACAACCCUUGAAUGGUUUCUCUAAGAAAGAAAGUGGCUACGUAUAUAAAUCUACAGUUUCAAAAUGUAUAUAUGAACUUAAAUAUGUCAAUGCUUGAUACAGAUGAUUAUGUUGUAUGACUUGCUUCAAUUCUAGUUCCAUUUGUCUAACUACUGUUCAAAAUAAUCAUAGCCCAUAUGACCAUACAAGAACUGAAGAACAUGCUAAGCGUUGAGUCAUGUGGGAGAUCUUGAAAAAGAUUGAGGAAAACAUGAUAUACUUGGUACUUUGGUAGAAUCAAAUCGACCGCACGGCAAUCUUCUUGAAGGUAUACACCCAAAUUUAAGAAAGGAGGUAGGAGAGAAAAGUGAGAGGGACGCUAAAUAACCGACUUUCAACCUCUUUUCUUAAAUUUGGUGCCAUGCCUUCAAGAACUUUGUCAUACGGUCAAUCUGAUUCUCCCAAGUAUAUCAUGCUUUCCCAAGUCUUCUUCAAGAUCUCCCAUAUAUCUGCAUCCGUGACUUGACGUUUAGCAUGUCUUGCUUGUACCAUACUUUAAAGUGUCUAAUAAGCUGAAUUUGAAUACUAACACGGGCACACUCAUAUAUUGUCGUGAUGCUCACGUAAAACUUAUUUUUAAUUGUCCAAGUUCAUCUAAGUUCUUGGGAUAUCAAGAACAAACUCCGGUUUUUGGCAGAUAUGUAUCAACUAUGCACGCCCACGUAGCCGCAAUAUAAGUAUAAUUUGAUGAAUAAUCCUGAAUUUGAAUUAUCUCUCCGUCUUCAUUGCAACUACCGAUGUCGCUCCCUCUCAACUACCUAUGCAUAUUUAUAUAGGGUAAGCAUGUUAUGUUUCUAUCCACGUGUCCUUAUAGGAUACUAAUUCCCUUUUCCUAUUCAAUAAAGGAUAAAUAACUUGCCAAUUAAAAAUCACAUUCCUUUUCCACCAAGAAUUUAAAGGAUGGAUCAGUUUCCUAAUCCUUUGUGGAUGAGGAAAUAAUGAAACUGAACACCUUUGUGAUGGGCCUCGUCCUUUGGGCCUCAGUGUAACUCGAACUGUGAAAAUGAGCCUUUAAAAGUUCGAAGCCCUCCAUUUCUUGUUUUCCAAGCACAACUUAGCCAUCUUUGGAAUAAGGUGCCACUCUUGUUGCUUAUCUGAUAGCUCAUGAACAAUUUGUCGAGUAACGAAUUUAUGUUUACUAUGUUCUUCAAAGGUUUUGGUGCUAUGUAUGUCAAAUAGUUUCCGUUCAUUUAUUAUUGAAAUACUAUUGGAAGGAAUUAUAAAGAAUGGGAAGUAAUCCUAUCAAUGUUGGUGCAAUGGUUGUAUCAUAUUGAUGCGAUCUAUUGUAAUUGAAUAUUUACAAACCGUACUAAAGAUUAGAUCAUAUGAAUGAAAUAGGUUUCAAGAAACAAAAAUUACACCACAGAAAACAACAAUCAAAACCUUUAAUUGAUCAGAGAAAAGAAAAACUAUAAACAUGAAUUGAAAACCAAUCACCCAAGAGUAACCCAUAAAUCCAAACUGCACAAAUCCAUGUCUUGUAGUUGAAGAGUGGGUAAAGAUACUCACCUGGAAUUCUUCGAGCCAAAUCUGGAUAUGAUUUGGAUUAUGUUACUCACUACGCACACUUUUAUAGAUACAAACCCAGAAAAAUCCCUCCUCUUAUCCUCUCUCUCUCUCNNNNNNNNNNNNNNNNNNNNCUACUCUCUCUCUCUCUCUCUCUCUCUCUCUCUCUCUCUCUCUCUCUCUCUCUUAGAUCGUUGUUGAAAUUUCUAGAAUUGACGGAAGACCAAGUCGAUGCUCUCUCCUAAUAAUCAACAGUGUUAAAGUAGAGAGGGAUCCCUGAACCUUCUAAUAUUCUCAAGAAAUGACUAGGCCAACAACAGGGGCAAACGAGUCUCCAUUGUUGUUUGUGAACAUCGAAACUACUGUUCAUUGUGAACAGUAACCGACCUUGACAACAAAUAAUAUAUAGUUAAAUUCUCAUUUGUAAUGCGAUCUCACAACGACAGUAAUGCUAAGGACAAACUAUUUCAUAGCCUGUGUAAGUAGGACUUUAAGACUUUAAACUUGUGCACAAAACUUACACCUCUCAUAAUGUGUACUUUUAUAGCUAAUUCUCUCAUUGGUAAAGCAAUGUUUCAAUAGUUGCACCAUGUUUGAAAAAGAAAAUAAUAAUAGGAAGGUUUAGAUUUGAUUUUCUAUGAAAAAAAAAACGAAAAAAGAAGAAAAAGAAAUGGUUGUUUUUUUUUUUUGGUGGUCAUAAAAAAGGUUGUUCUUUACCGCUUUAAAAACACAAAACUGGUCCGAUUCUAAGGGUCUGUCAAACUCAGAGAGCUUCCAGGGUUUAAGGUCUAACAGGGGUUCCUUGUUCCCUAAAACCCUAAAAAUGGCGGCAACGACCCAAUUGACCCACCACCUUGAGUGUUACGUCGACACAGCUCGCCCUCCCGCGGAGCAGGUUCAUCUUCCCAGUCAAUUUCUCCUCCUAAAGUUUAACUCUUUCAAUUACCACUGUAAUUUCUGGACUAGUUUGCCUGCUAUGUUAAAGAUUCAUACUUUACUUCUGCUAAUGCAACCCUUUUCUUUUUAUCUCAAUUUGGAUUUUGGGUUCACCCUUUUUUCUGUGUUUGAUUAUUGAUACUUGGAUGAUAAUGGAGCAUAUAUGCAAAUUAUUGUGGCUGUGUAUCAGUAUCAGUAUAUAUGAUAAUGUAUGAGUUUUUGAUUAUGUUAUUGCUUUGGUUUUGAGAGUUUGAAGCGAAAAGUGUGUGUGCAUUGCAGGCUGCAAGUUUGAAUUUCAUCACUUCUCUUGUGAAGAAGGACUUGUUGACUAUUGAAGUGCUGGUACGAUUAAGUUUUGGUUUUUCUAUUGUGACAUUUUGCUUAAUUGAAUUGAUAUCUGAUCUCUAAUGUAUGUGUCUGUGAACAGGUGAAAGAGAUGAGGAUGUAUCUGACCAUUACGGAUAAUGUUAUUCGUGCUCGUGGUAAGUUUCGUGUCUUUUUGGAUAUUUUUAGUUAUCUAAUCUAGAAUCAUAGACUCUUUUCUUCUGAAGACACCCGAGUUUGGUAAAUCAGGGCGAUAUUUCUUUAGAAGAUAAGAAAACUUUUGUGUAUAUGAUAGUUCUGAUUAGAGUUUUGGGAUGAUUGUCUUACCUAUGUGCUUGAUAAUCUCAGAAUCUAGUAAGUUCCUUGAGAUUGCUUCUUUUUAUUAUUGAAUUUUCGGGACUUCUUAAUUGGGGAGAAGAAUUCUGCUCCAAAUUUAGGAGAUGUAGGAUAUAGGUUCUAAAUUCUUUCCUUCUGAUGCCAUACGAAGGAAUAUUAAAUUCAAGAAACUUGUUAAAGGAAAAGAUGUUUACGGCGUGGUAUAACAAAUCAAGUUUUGUGUAUGAGGCUUGGCUGCUGAAGUUUUCUGAUAGUACAGGCACAUUCCAAAGUUACAGAUGAUUUUGAACACUUUGAUAGGGCUAAAUGAAAAAUUCUUGGGGUUUUGGCAGAAUUUAAGACGACAGUUGAACUAGAGGGGACAAAAUUUUAUAUUCUCAUUAACGCUACCUGCAUGAACAAUGCACAAAUAAGAGAGACAAAACUAGGCUUACAACUUCAACAACUUGAGUAUUAAAUUCCUUAAGAGCUCUGUGAAUCCAACAGAGGUUAUAGAUGGUUAUUGAACUCCUGACUUUGCAAGUAAACCAAACCAAAGGUCACACGUGAAUCCCCUUGCUUCCUAUAUUAAAAUCAACCUCUUGAGUCAUGACAAAAACUACCGCCCAUUGUAUUCCAUACAUACUCAGAAACUUCAAGAAAAUGCAAAAAUACUAAUGGGAUAUCAACUGUUAUGCUAGAUUAAGAAGUCUUCCUAUGAGAAAGGGGCAUAUUCUCGAGCUUCUGCAAAUCAUCUAUAAUCUUGCUAUGCCAACAACACCGAGCAUUCUCCUUUUUACCAAUCUCCAUUAUUAAAGUUACCAUUUUUCGUUGAUAUAUAUUGUAACUUAUCUUUUUCAGUUUUAUCUUUUCUUAACAAGAGUUGUAACUUUUCCAGCACAAUAAUUUUAGAUAUCAGGGCUUCUUGGCUACAAACGUCCGCACCAAUGGUUUUGGUGCGGAUUUUCAUUUUUGCACCACUUUUCGAUCGAAUUUCCUCAUCUCCAUCGUCUAGUAUCUAGAUAAUAUUGUGUAGAUCAUCUCUGCAAAAUUUCAGCCAAUUUGGUAAUCGUUAAGGCCCUCAAACUNNNNNNNNNNNNNNNNNNNNNNNNNNNNNNNNNNNNNNNNNNNNNNNNNNCUUAGCGGGUUCCAACGGGUAACCCGCGAACCCAACGGGUUGAACCCGCUACAACCCGUUAGCUUAACGGGUUGUAGCGGGUUGAACCAGCUAACCUGCCACAGCCCGACCGCUAACCACCUAACUCGCCCAUUCGCCAGGUUGCAUGAUGAUGCAAUAACCAAACGUUGAUCAUCGUAUGCUAGACUAAUUAAGCUAGGUUUUGCCAUACUGGCUGGGUAACCCUCCUCUCUUCGGCUGGUAUGUAGUUCCGCUUGGCCAGCCCAAGGCUCACGCUUAAGUCUCGGUAAAAAUUUUCAGGUAGAAAAAAAAAAAAAAACCCAACUUCACAUCUAAAAAAGAAGAAAAUUGGGACACCGAAACACCUUCGUUUUGGUUAUACCAUUAAUUAAGCAGCAACUCUCAAAUCUCAGUUUCAAAAUUCACAAUCGUCUCCCCAUCUUCUCACCUCCUAUGGCUUACUUGUGAAUUUGAGACCCUCAAAUUCUUAUCUUACUGUUUAAUUUCAGUCGUUCUAGUGGGCUAUUCUACUGUCAAAUGCUGAUGUACUCGCGAUUGAGCCCGUUCCUCUCCUUUGUGUCCCUCAAAAUAACAAAGAUUAAGAACAUAUUAGGGUUUAUAAAGGGUUUAGGCGUUUAGCAAUCCACUUAGGGUUUACAAAGGGUUUAGCAAUCCACUUGCGAAAAACAAAAAAGAUUAAGAAUAUUAGUACAAGUUAACAUGCAUUUGACACUUUAAAAGCUCAAAGUGUAAAAUUAUAGUUUUGGUAGUGAGACAAAAAAGAAGAAUGCAUGCGAGUCUUGAAGGGAUAAAAUUAAGUUAAAAAUUAAGUGCCAUGGUAAGCAAGCACGGGAGCACAAGAAGCAUGCAUAUGAAGUAAAUGUUUAUUACAGAUGAUAUAGUUCAAGUGUAUAGUUAAUAUGAAUGUUUUUCUUGGGUUGAUUAUAAAUAAACACACAAAAGUACUUCCUAUAAAGAACCAUUUUGGUUCCUCACCCAAUACUCAGCUUACGUCAAUACAAAAGCAUUCUCCAUUACAGUACGUGCUAAAAGACUCCUCAACUAAUUAAGAUUACAAGGCUCAUCAAAUUAAACCAGAAAGUAAGACAGUGUUCAUGUAUGAAUCAAGCUAGCCCUUUGUCUUGUCUUGCCAGCACAAUAACCAAAUGUUAAUUGUAGACUAGAGGUUUGCUAAAACCAAAUUAUGCAUUUCAUGCGAGCAAUAAGAGGUUCUGUAACAAAAUUAUCAUUCAUCAACACAUGCCUCACAUAUUAUUUUUUUUUUUUUNNNNNNNNNNNNNNNNNNNNGAAUUUCCUCAUCUCCAUCGUCUAGUAUCUAGAUAAUAUUGUGUAGAUCAUCUCUGCAAAAUUUCAGCCAAUUUGGUAAUCGUUAAGGCCCUCAAACUCGAAAAACAAAUGGACGGACUGAAUUCUAUCAAACAUGAACUGUUCAUGUUUAUAAUAGAAAGACGCAAGUUUGAGGGCCUUAACGAUCGACCAAAUUGGCUGAAAUUUUGCAGAGAUGAUCUACACAAUAUUAAUCUAGAUACUAGACGGUGGAGAUGAGGAAAUUCGAUCGGAAAGUGGUGCAAAAAUGGAAAUCCGCACCGAAACCUUCGGUGCGGACGUCCGCAGCCAAGAAGGGCUAUAUAUAUAUAGAUACGGAAACGAUGUGGAGCGCACAUCGCACGAAGCUCCGUUCGCCACCCUCCGGAGCUGACGACAGCGCGCCUCCACCCCAGGGGACUCCAGCAGCGUCCCCGAUCACUUUCCCUCCCCGGCGAGGCCGCCGAAUUCCAGUUUCCAGCGAGAUCGACUUUAUUUGAAGUUUUGGGUGAUCUCGCUGGAAUUCGGCGGACUCGGCGGGGAGGGAAAGUGAUCGGGGGACGCUGCUGGAGUCCGCUGGGGUGGCGGCGCGCCGUCGUCGGCGCCGGAUAGUGGGGAACGGAGCUCUGUGCACACUUACGCACGUGCGCUUCAUAUCCGGCCUCUAUAUAUAUAUUAUUUUUUUUUUUUUUCCUUAAACAAUAAAUUUAAGGACAGAAACUGAAAGUUUCUCAUACGGUAUCCUUCUUCAGGUAUACUUCUUUUGGCAGAAGUUCUUACAGGUCUUUCAUCAAAGCCACUAGAUAAUGCAACUAUUCAUAGCUUGAUAGGGUUCUUCACAGACAGACUGGUGGGUGGGCAUUUCUUUGUUUUUACUUUGUAACCUUUGUUUAGAAUCUCAUAUUUUGGUUUCACAAUGUAAAUUGGUGAUAUUGUCCUUCUAUCAGUCAGAUUGGAGAGCUUUACGUGGUGCACUUAUUGGUUGCUUAGCACUGCUGAGGAGACAAGUUAAUGCCGGAAUGGUCUCUGCCAGUGAUGCAAAAGUCGUUGCUCAGUCUUACAGAGAGAACAUACCAGUGCAAUCUUUAGCUCAACAGGACAGAAAGGUAGACAAGCGAAUGCCAUUCUUAAUGCCCAAUAAGUUGAAGAAAAGAAAUUAGCCUACUGUUUGCAUAGCCAAUGAUUUUGUUUAAAUAUAAUUGCUUACUUUCAUGUCCCCUAAUUCUCUUGCAGCUUUGUUUUGAGCUUUUGGAGUGCCUUUUACAACGCUAUCCAAACGAGGUUGCUUCACUGGUAUUAAUUCUGUCUCGUUUCUUUAACUUGUUUGGGCUCCAGCUAGGUGUGUUUAUACUAUUCUUCUUCUAUGAUGUAUAGUAAAACUUAUGCAAAAGAAGAUUGUCAGUUAACUGUUUGGAUAUUCAACUUGGAGUAAAUAAAUUCUGUGAGUUCAAUAGAUGUCUACUCAAUCAAAAAGGCUUUUUUCAACUGAUUCAAACAAGCCCGAUUCAACAUGUUGUUGGUUUCUGUAUGGAUUCAAUGAUAUGCUUGGCUCUUUUCAAGGAAGUCUAUAACUUAACUGUAUUAUAGUGUUUCGUUCAUAUAUGCAACAUUCCAUAUACAUACACACAGACAGCAGGCACAUGCAUGUGGGUGUGUAUGUGCCUUAUCCUUAUGCCCGUGAAACUGAUCUGAUGUCUGUUUACUCUGCUUAGAACUAAUCUGUCACAUUUCAUAGUGAGUCUGAUAACAUAUUGAUCAAAUUUUUCUCCAUUCUCCAGGGUGAAGAUCUUUUCUAUGCGAUCUCUGAAGCCAUUGAUGAAGAAAAGGAUCCUCAUUGCUUAAUAUUAACAUUUCAUAUUGUUGAGGCACUGGUCAAAUUAUUUCCAGACCCAUCUGGGCCACUCGCAACUUUCUGUGGAGAUCUAUUUGAAUUCUUGGGUUGCUACUUUCCCAUUCAUUUUACUCAUGUAAGCUUAUCUUUUACAUGUACUUGUAGAUUUUGAAUAUAUUUUAUAGGUUUAUAUGUAUUUUUACUGUUGAAUUUACGUUUGAAUCUAAACUAGUUCUUAGAAUUUGGAAUUGAAAAAUCUGCAUGUAUUUUAUUUAUUGCAAUUUUCUUUAGGCAUAGAACUUUGACCUUCAACAUUGAGAAAGAGGAAUACGGAAUUGGUGCUUUCUCAUCUGCCACAUGCAAUUCGUUAUGUUUGGAGCACCUAUUGACUUUAAAAGUGGAACAAAAGUAGUCUAUUCUAUUGAUAUUAGUUAAUCUGAGUAUGAUUUUCUAUGAAAAUUUCAGUUUCCUUCUCAGCAGUAUGAUAUUCAUAUUUCAGUUUCCUUCUCAAAAAUUUUACUUUCUAUGCAUAACUUAAUCCUCAUUUGUUACCAAAUUUAUGAUCUCUCCAUGUUCAUGUCUCAUCAAAGCUGGUAUUCAGAUGGCUGUUUUCCUUGACUUGGCCUAUAAAUUGCCUUCUCUUUGUGUUCUUUAGACCCUGCCAUUCAUUUCUCUACAAUCUCAUAUUCUUUGAUUAUAUUGACAUGUGAUAUGUGGUUAUCUCUAUGCAUUCUCCAGCUGAAAGAUGAGGACGCUAAUGUGAAAAGGGAGGACCUCUCGAAGGCUCUAAUGGUACACCUUAACUGAGACCGCUACCGUCGUUUCUUCUUAAUCUCUUUGCUAAUGUCUUCUGUGCUAUGAUUCUCCAUUUGAGACGGCGCUUUUUUGUUGCUUUUUUUGUUAAUUUUGGCGGACUGGUGCAUGUCACAUUGUUCUUUGAAGCAUUAUUAAUUCAUUGCUGCUGAUUAUGGCUUAAUUGGACUGCACUCUGUGCAUGUGACAUGCCCUUUUUCAAUAACAAGUAGGAAAAUGUAACUGGAUAUACUCUAAAGUAGCUACGGCUGAUUUUCUUUUUAGAAAAGUAUGGGCAGCAGCAUCCAUAACUUUGUGUUCUAAAAAGAAAACAAAAAACCUCUACGGUGUAUACUGGUUGUGAGUAGUUUUCACCAACUGUAAUCUUGGAGUCUGAAAGCAUAUUUUUGUAAAAAGAGUGAGACAAAGAAUUAAGUCGAUGGAACACAGGAUUCUUCUUUACGUUAUGUGUACUGCAACUAUACUUGAGAGUCCUCGUGAUGACCAGGUUUUUCAGUUUGCUCUGAUACCAGGUUUUGAAGAAUUUCACCUUGUAGUUUGGUUACCUAAAUGAGAAGUAAAUCAUUCACCGUAUAGAUGCCACAAUUUUUCUCCUCUAUGCUAGAAGUAUACACCUGAGGCUGCAUUGAUAAUGCUCAGUUUUAUAUGAAUCACAUAUGGCUUUAAGAAAUAUUUUUUUUUCUCUUGAACAUGAAGAGAUAUGAACCAAGGGAGAACUGUAUUUUGUGUUUGUAUGAUAAACAUUGUCGUUUAUCCUUUAGGUGCAUUAGUUUAGUGCCUAGUUCUUUCAAUGAGGCCAUUGAGUAAGAUAGCAACAGAGUAAUAUGAUAUUGAAAGUUCUUUGCUACUUCUAUGUAACUUCAUCAUUUAUCCUUUAUAUGUAGUUUAUUGCCUAAUCUUUACUGUUUCAAUAGCAAAAUGUUGAACCAAGAUGUUUCUUUCUGCAGUCAGCAUUCUCUUCCACAGCCUUGUUUGAGCCAUUUGUUAUUCCGUUGCUUCUUGAGAAACUUUCUUCUUCUCUGCCAUUAGCAAAGGUUUGGCCACUUUGUAUGUAUUACUUUUCUGUUCCUUGAGUAUUAAUUUUCACUGCCCGUGGAAAUAUUUUGUUAGUAAAGUUGUCUUUUGGCUGCUUGGUCUGUAUGCCUGCAGGUUGAUUCCUUGAAGUAUCUUAACUACUGUGCAUCUAGAUAUGGAGCUGAAAGAAUGGCAAAACAUGCUGAAACUAUCUGGAUUUCCAUAAAACAUGCAAUAAGUAAUUCAUUGGAAGUGCCUGCUAAAUCCUUUACUGCAGAACCACUAGUUGGUCUUGGCUUUGAAGAAAAUGAAAUUGUAACAGAAGCUUUGAUUCUUCUACAAAAUGUCACAAUGCAAAAUGAUGCUUUGCUUCUAAGUUUGAUUGUUCGGGAUGAAGAUAUAAACAAUGUUAUCAAUUCCAUAGCUAGUCAUGAAAGUUACACUAAUAUUCCCUCGCAAGGCAGGCAGAGUUUACAUGCAGUUGGUCGCAUCUUUUUCAUCAUAACCAAGACUUCCAUGGCUUCCUGUAAUAGGGUAUUUGAAAGUUUCUUCCCUUCCUUAAUGAAGACUCUGGAGAUUUCAAUGGGGAAUUCAUCCAAAGAUUGUACUCUCAAGGAGAAUUCUUUUUCCUCUAAAAGAUUUAAGUUUGGAGCUCUUUAUUUCUGCGUGGAAUUCAUUGCUGCAUGCAGAGAUUUAAUCAUGAGAACCAAUGACCAUGAUGAGAAGUUUGGUACUGCAGAUGAGACAUGUUGCUGCAUGCUUCAAAGCUCUGCGCCAACACUAAUCACUGCCUUCUGUACUACCUUAGCGCAAAUUUCUUGUAACGUUGCCGAUGAUGCAGAUAUUUAUUUCAAAGGUAAAGCUUUAAAUUGGCAGUACAAAGCUAAUCUGUUCGCACAUGUAUUAUCUAAUUGCAUGUGGUUAACGUGCUCAUAACAUAAGAAUCUUACCUGUUAUGUUAUAAUCCUAACUAUCCGAGUUUUGUGAACCUGGGCACACCUUAGGUAGGAAGUUGUGUCUAGGUAUGACCUUUAUUAUCGUCCAAAAUCUGACAUAUGGGAGCUCGAUGACUUCUUAUAUUUCAUGUUUUUAGUUUACACCGACUUAGGCAUCUCAGUAGGCUGUAGGUGAUCAUUUUUGGAGUUCUUAUGACAUUUGUCACUUCCUCAAACUGUAUGGUUCUUAGUUCUUACAGUUGUGGCAACAUGUUUUUUAAUAGAAUGUUAUUUAAUGUGCUAUGCAGUGAAGGGUUUACAAAUGUUGGCUACAUUCCCUGGAUAUUUCUUACAAAUACCAAAAGCUAUGUUUGAGAAUGUUCUGAAGACUCUCAUGUCGAUCAUCUUGGUGGAUUUUGACAAGCCGUUGUUGUGGAAGCUAGCAUUGAAGGCUUUAGCACACAUCGGCUCAUUUGUGGAUGUGCAUCUCGAGUCAGAGAAGGCACAAAGCUAUACAAGUUUUGUUGUUGAAAAGACUAUUUCACUGCCUCAAGAUGAUUUUGAUGUGCCUUUCCCUCUAAAACUGGAAGCAGUAUUUGAGAUUGGUGCAAGUAGGCCAAAUCAUAUGCUAAGAAUUAUUCAAGGGCUGGAAGAUGCAAUAGUUGCCAAUUUAUCCAAAACUUUUGUAUGUAUUCUCUGUCAUAUUAACCACCCCUUUAUUUAAAAAAUUGCACUGUGGAUUUGUUUUAGGCGAGUAAUUUUCUCUUUAAUAUAUGCUUGAGCAUGGUUUUCCCAUUUUCUAACGAUUUUGUCUUUGCGUUUGGUCACAAGAUCCAUGGAGAUUUGAAGGCAGCUGAAAAAACAAUUCAACUUUUAGAAUGCUACUCCAAUAAGAUUAUCUCAUGGUACAUUCCCUCCCCCCCCCCCCCCCA
rnacentral:lncRNA from 1 species